GAGCAAGAGAAGGAAAAUCACUUUCUGUUUCCAACUUCCAAUGUCCAAAUUCUUCUCUUUCAUAUCCCACCAAUCCUGAUCUGUUGCUGUUUUAGUUUCCCCCUGCCAUGGAAACCAUCCUCUCCCCUUCUUCAUUCUGCCCGCUCUUCAACCCCAAGAUUUCAUCCCUUCAAUCCAAACCAACUUCCCUAUUACUCAGUAAAAGUAGCAGUACCAUUUGCUCUUGCCUCAAGAAACAACCAACUCAGUUAUCUGUUAGUGAUAAACAAUCUUCUUCAUCUCCUACAAAUUGGCUUUCUCAUGUCCAGCAAGGUCUUGCAGCUCUAGCAAUUUCUCUUGCACUCAGUUACUGCCCAAUCUUACCUACUCACUCUGCAUUUGCAUCUGAAUUUGAUGUACUAAAUGAUGGUCCACCAACAGAAUCAUAUGUGGUUGAUGAUGCUAAUGUUCUUAGCAGGCUCACAAAAUCCGACUUGAAAAGAUUGUUAUCUGAUCUUGAAUCAAGAAAAGGGUACCACAUUAAUGUCAUCACUGUCCGAAAACUCACUGUAAACCUUUUUACUCUGCCUUUCCCUUAAUUUCAUCAUUUUGAAUAUCUUUUUUCUUUUCCCCUUUUGGAAGACAUAAAAUGGAUUUUUUGUGUGAACUAAUUUGCUGUCUUUCACCAUGAAUUGCUCCUUGUUUGUCUUGUGUGAUGCUGAAUUACUUUACCAAUUUAUUAAGACUUGGAAUGCUCCACGUCUAUGUCUCUUGUGUCAAACAAGGAUUAGAGAUGGUUGGAAUAUUGCUUCCUUGGUGUUUGCCAGAAUCCGGACUUGUCAAAGAUUAGUCUCCUAUGUUUCAUUUUUGUUUAGUACUUUAGAUUCUUUUGACUUCCACUUCCAAGUUUCCUUGAGAUAAUGCAGUUCAUGCACUGUGCAUAUAUUUUGCACGGGGAACUAAAAUGAGAACGAGAAAGGUUUAAUAUGAAGUACCAAAUAUGUUGAAUUUGCAACAAUUUUACUAGACUAGAAGAAAUCUACAAUAUACCAUCAGAGCUGGAACAUUUCCCUUAACAUGCAUUGCAUGCAAACCAUUUUAGGUGCUAGGGUGAAAUUCAAACCUUAACAGUUCAAGUGAUACCGGGUGCUGUUAAGGGAAAGGUUUGUAAUUGUUCAUGUUCUUUGGUUGUAGAGCAAAGCUGAUGCUUUUGAGUAUGCUGACCAAGUUUUAGAACGUUGGUACCCUUCUCUUGAAGAAGGCAAUAAUAAGGGGAUAGUUGUUCUUGUCACCAGUCAAAAGGAAGGUGCAAUUACUGGAGGCCCUGAAUUUAUUCAGGCUGUUGGUGAUACUGUUCUUGAUGCCACUGUCUCUGAAAAUCUUCCAGGUAUAGUUCUUCUUUCUUCUUCUUUUGGUUCACUUUAUUUUCACUGCAUUUGUUUUUGCUGGUAGCAGUGCAGCUUCUGCUAUUAUUGCCAUUAUGUACGUAAACUAAAAAUACUGGGGCAACCUUCAUACCAAAAAGUUCAUGUUUCUUGGUUAACAAAAAGUGGAGAAAGACUUUCAUUUCUUACAACAAAGAAAAUGUAGGAAUGAGAACAUUCUGCCAAAAGGCAUUAUUUUACCACAGACGUUAUCAGACAGAAACCAGAAUAUUAUUUUCCUAUUACAUCCUGAAUCAAUACAGCACUAAUUUACCAAAUACAAUUAAUAAACUUCAUCUUGAUUGUGCCUAUAUUUGAUUGUUUAGAAUAGAUGUCCAAGUUUGAUGCCGUAGAUGAGCUAGGCUUCAAGUCUUAUACUGUGGAUAUGCCCUCAACACCAUUGCUUGCAUCAGAGAUUAUUGUAGGACUCCUAUUAUUUAUGGCAAAAGCUUUCCAAUAGGUGAUCAUGUCUUCAUUUUGCUUGGAAAUACUAGUUUAUGUGCCAAUUCGAUUAGAAAGUAGGACAUUACAUCUCUGGAUCCAAAAUACACCUGUCAAAUAUACUUCUCUGUGCCUCAUGGCCCUCAUCCCACUCCCCGGUCGAAGCAGGAACCGUUUCUUCGACAUGUUCGAUCCAAACGAAAUAACAUAAGAAUCUUAAAGGGAUUUGUAAAGGAAAUCCCUGGAAGUUUGGGAAACUUUCAGAAAUUAAGGUCCAGCUUAUCUGAGUCUGAGGUAAGACAAUGUGCGCAUACUGGCUUAAGCAAUAAAGCUCCUUCAGUCGAAAAUACAUUGUCAAACCUAUUUUCCAUUUCUCUUUGUUUAUUUAGGUUAUUUCAAUUAGAGAACCAAACGAAGAAGCUCCAUUGUGUACCCAUUCUUCAACUAAGUUAGUAGCUGCAGAUAAAGGGUCAAGUUCACGAGACAGAAACCGCGAUUGCAUGCAUACUUGGGUUUGGUUAUGGGCUUCAUCUUGGGUAUGCAACGUCUGGAGUCCGUCUCAGGGAUGAACAUUGCCCCAAAAUUGUUGCCUAUGUUUCUGCUGUUCCCUAGUCAAAAUAACCAAUAUCUAGAAUGAAGGAUAAGCUAAACGAUGCAUGAAGGACAACUUUUAUUUGUCAUGCCAACUGCCAAGCAGUUAAGAGCCUGCUAACUAUGAGCAUGUUUUUUUCCUUGAUGUAGUGCUAGCAACUGACGAGAAAUACAAUGAAGCAGUAUACAGCACUGCCAAGCGUCUAGUUUCUGCAAUUGAUGGGCUUCCUGACCCUGGUGGCCCCAAAUUCAAGGAGAACAAAAGAGAAUCUAACUUCAAAUCCAGGGAGGAAACCGAGGAGAAAAGAGGGCAAUUCACACUUGUUGUUGGAGGUUUAUUAGUGAUCGCAUUUGUUGUUCCCAUGGCUCAAUACUAUGCUUAUGUCUCCAAGAAAUGAACUGAUCUCAAUUUGUAGUUUUAGUUGGAUUCUUAUUUUGCUCAUAGCUGAGCAAAGAGGUAUAAAGAUAUUGUACAAAAUGGUCAUUGAAAAGUGACAAGACCCUAUCCGUCACAAUACUCCCACUUUUUUUCGCAACUUUAUUGAUGUUUUUCGUGGAACAAGACCGUAGUCAAGAAAACACUUAAAUUCUUUCUUUUUUUCUUCGCUUCGAACUUCCCUUCCAUUGAGAAAAUGACUUUCUUUAUUUCAGAUUCUUCAAUAAAUUUAGUUCCAUUACAGAAAAAAUGAGAAGCAUAUCUUCAUUUUUUUUUUUGGUUCUCAAAACUUGAGUUUAAGUAGGAAGGGCAUCUGAUCCGCAAAGGGUGGAUCAGAAUAUUUUCCAGUGAGAAUUUGGGAGGCCACAAAAUGAUUUGCAGCUUCAGUGUAAUGAAUUCCAUCCCAGUUUACGUAUUCAGUACUAUCAUUGCAUGCUUUCACUGUCACUGAUGUUCCAUUCAGAACCUUGGUUUGGCCACAGGUUAUCCGACUGUCAUAGUUCAAUGGUGGACCUCCUGUUCCACAGCAUACCAUUAUAGGUUGUUCAAAUCCUGCAAGUUUAAUGCAGUCACGCAAUCAAAUUUCUUUAUGCUGCAGAACUUUGUUAUGAAAUUACUACAUAUUCAUAAUUCUUGACCCCAUUCACUAGCAUCCACAGAUUACUUCCUAUUUAAUACUCCUUCGCCCCAUUUUAUUAGUCUUGAUUUCUAGUUUGAUUUGUCCCAAAUUAUUUGUCGUGGUCGUAAAAGGAAAAUAAAAAAAAGAAUAAUAUCCCCAUUUUAAGCUUCAUUCAAUUUCCAAAAAGAGCAGUAAAGUUAUGUUUCAAUAUUAAGUGCUCUAAAAUACUAAUGUAGAAUUGAAAAACAACUAACAACGUUUUGAAUUUUAGUUAAGAGCUAAUCAUGGAAAGAGUUUUAUAAUAGUUGAUCAAAAAUUAUAAAUUUCUUAAACUAUGUGCAAAGCUGAUAAUGACAAGUAAAAUGGAACGGAUUGAGUAGAAUUUAUUGUCCAAACAAAUGAUGUGGGGAUUCCACAAUUCAAAGACAGAUUGUAGUGGUUUGAAUUUCUUGAGUGUAGUACUGGUAACAAGUGCCUACCAACUAGUCCAUUCCACCUAAAAGUCUGAAACCUACCAUUAAUGAGUCACUGAAACUUGGAACUAAAAAAGCAGGAUAAAAUCUGUUUUCAAUGUUGUCUAGACCAUAAAGAAUAUUCAUUAGACUAUUAUGCCAGUAUUGUUAAGUUUAAAUUGAACCAACUUGACUGGAAGGUUAUGCUUUUGAUUUAACGGUCAAAAUGAUAGAGUCAAGAACUCGUUAAAGCUGAUAAAGAAUCCAAAAACAAUUUGACUUCAAAUGGGCAUCCUAUAAUUGCAGUUCAACAAGUAAUGAACAAUCUCUGAUUACACACAUUCUUUGUCUUCUAUUAUUGCUGUAGCCAAGAAAACUUUUUUUUUUUUGGGGUACUUAAAGGGUUGCUGAUUGCUUAAGAAUACUUAAAUCCGAAUGAUGGACAAGUAAUGAUUGGGACUACGUCCGAUGAAACACGUCUAUCAACUACCAAGCCCGCCUACACAUGUCCCAAAUAAAUUGGCUGAGGAUGCUGAAAUGCAAGAAAUUGGCUGAAAGAAUUUGCACAUUCAAUUUCCCUAAUCUAAUCACGAUCUAUAAUGUACCAGACAUAAAAUACUUAAGUUGAAGUUCUUUUAAUUUUGUAUCAAGAAAUAAAAGUUAGUUAAAACCUUUGGAUUCAAGUUAAAGUUGAGCAAAAUAUCAGGUGGAAAUAUAAGCAAAUAAAGGGUGUAAAAUACUGACCGUAUUUGGAGUAGUUGGCAAUGAGAUUGGAUUUAAUUGAGAAUAUAUCAACAUGUGUAACAUUUGCGUCUGAAUAUUGGCCUUGCAACUUCUUGCAAAGUGCAUAAAGCUGGAGGUUUAGAAGUUUGGAAGCUUGAUUGUGGGUGAUGACACAUCCAAGCUCGUCAAGCUUGGAUGGAUCAGUUCCAAAUUUGGCAAUAUUUUGAGCUAAGCAACCAAGAGGACCCGUGUUGUGAAUCCAAAAAUUCCUUGCUCCUUCAUCAUAUAAUUUCUGCCAAAGCAAACAAAAAAUCCACGAAGGAGGCACAUUUAGAUACGACAAAUUAUUUACAAUAUGAUUAUACGACAAUUACGAAUGAUAUACAUAGAAUUACUAUUGGCAUUUUUAAGGAAUAAAACUUGUGUUGUGCAAAAUAGCUAGACUCUUUAGAUACUUUCAUCAUGUUACUAAUUUGGAUGAGAACUUAGUUACUAUAAGUUUAUUAUAGUUCUAAAACUAUGAUAAUAUUAGUACAUGGCAUAAUUAUGCAUGCCAAGCUUGAUGCAGAAGAAAUUAACUAACAUUUGAGUGUGUUGUCUACAUUUUACCAACCUUAAUGCCAGCUUCAAAUUCUGCUAAAGUGGUUGGGAUUGAAGCAAUAAUUUGAUCGUAUGUCUUCGAAUAAAAGGCACCAGCAAGAUCAUUCUGGCCUAUAUCGAAAGUGUAAAGCCCCUUCUGGAAAACAUCUGCUGCUGGAAUAUACUUGUCUGCUUUCCUACCUGCAAUCGAGUCAAUCAAAAUUUACGUUACACAACUAAAUUGUCCUUCAGUACUUGUAUUUGUACUCGCUUGUGAUGCAAAACAUCAUUUUAACUUGUCUUUGAAGAUAUGCAUCUGUUCAACAUACCUUUAGGCUGAAGGUCAAGAACUCGGCUCUUGAAUCUGAUGAACUGGUCCACUUGAACCCCAAAUGAAAAUGGGCUAAUAGCAUUAGCUGUUGCUGGAAGUAUGGUAGAAGCAGCAACCGCGAAAUCACAUCCCCUUUUGAAACUCGGCGCACCGAUGGAAUCCAAGUAAGGAUUUAGAUAUGGAAGUUCCAGUGCAUCCACUGCAAAAUGGAGAAAGACUUCCUUAAAGCAGAGAAACAGGGGAAAUGGUUGAAGCUGAAGUGGACGAAACAAAAAAUGCAGCCCCUAUAGGAGAAAUCUUACUUAAGAAAUCUAUGAUCAAACGGCCAUCGCAGAACCUGCCAGAUGGUUUUCUGAAGUAAGUUUGUCCAUUUGGUGGAAGAAGGGAUUCUCCCACACCAGCAACAAGGCCUCCCGUGUCAGAAUUUGAAUCACCAAAGUUGAACACUGCAGGGUAAUUGAAGUCAAUUGAAUUGGAAAAGGGAAUGCAAAUCAAGAAUAAGGUGAAAAUGUGGAUAGUGGAAGCCUUUGAAGCCAUGUCCAGUCUGAGACACAGCUCCAGGUCUUUUCUGUGUUUUGGCUGUGAAUUGAACCACUCAACCGGAUGGCAUACCCCAUAAAAAAAAGGAAUAUCUGGUAGGCUUUUGUGUGUAUCUAAAGUUAUCUUAAAUUAUGGGAAAGCCCAAAAAUAGAAGGGUCCCUAUUGAUCAAUUGCUGGUAUAUCCUUGUAGUCUUAAAGAUAUGGGCUGCGCUUAUUGGGGGUUACUUAUAUCUUAUUCAGCACAAUUACCAUUUGCUGUACAUGCAUGUUGCAGACAUAGAUUGUGGUCAACAUGUAAUGUUAGCUCGUACAACAGCGUAUUAUUGUUUAUUGGAUUUCAGUGUCGUUCCAUUCAUUAGACAUCUACAUUACUGCAGUCUACAAGUGGCAAUACACCUAUGGUUGAACGUUACGGCCCGUUUGGCAAGUGAAUUUUUUGGGUAUUUAUUUAAAACUUUAUUAUAACUUACUAUAAAAGUUGUAGGAAAAAAUUUUGAAAUGUGUAAAUUUUUGGAUAUUUUAAAGUAUAUAAUUUAAAAUUUUGAGAAGUUUUUUGAGAUUACUGUAGUUAAAGUUGUUAAAAAAUUUAUAGCAGACAAACUUGGUCAAAACUUACCUGCCAAACAAGAGUUAUGAAAACAAGGGGCAAAAACUUGUUGGAAGGAAAUCAUCUUUUUAUUUGUUAUUUCUUAAGCAAGAGUCAAACUUAAAGAGAGUAAACACAAAAAGAUUUAAAGAAAGAGCUUUUUGUUUUCAAGCAAAAAGUAGUGCAAAAUUGCAAAGAAUUGUUGUUAAUGGAUCUUAUUGAGAGAAUAUGUGCUUUGAGUGCACGAAGUGUUAAUCUAAGUACUCUAGCGGCUGUUAACUUUAUUGCUCAUAGUACCAUUUUCUGUACCAUUAGAAUUGAGAGGAUUAUAAAGUCUCUUUUAGGUAUCAUACCAUUAAGUUAAAUGGUGAAAUAAGUGUUUUUGACUCUCAAAUUAUAACAAUUUCAAAAAUUCAAAUGUUAAACAAAUAUCAUCAUUAAGACAUUUAUAUUGAGGGAAUGCUAUCUUAAAGAAACCAAAGAACUUUACAUCAAAAUAUAUGGAAAAAAAUAUAUAUUGUGAAGUUAUAAACAUAUUUUUAACUUUGCCCUAUCCUGUAAUUUAGUCUGGAUCGGCCAAUCCGCUGAACCGAUUACUUUACCAGUUUACCUAGGUUGGGUUCUUAAGCUCUGCCGACAAGGAAUCAACGGAAUUUUUUUUUUUUUUGGGGGGGAAACAUAACUGCAUUAUCCAUGAUCUAUGAAUAAGUCUCCUAAAUAUCAAGAAGAAGAAGCAGGACCAGUUUUUUAAAAAGCAAUUCUGCAAGCCAUACUUUUCUGUAUUAGCUUCCACGUGUGGGGCAUACAUUACUUCUUGUUUCUUCCUUUUCCAUAUCACGGGUGAGGAAAAUGCAUCAUUCCAAAAUCUUCAAGUCACAAGAAAGAAAAAGAAACAUGUCUUCAAGUAACAAGAAUAAUUAUCCCUUCAUGGGGAAACACAAUUGGUCCCAAAUAAUUAGCAACUGACAAAAAAGAACCUUACCAAAUGCAGCCUGUAAAACUAGAGCCUAUACGAGUGUAAGAUCUUUUCAUUUAUCGAGAAAGAGGAACGCCCAAAAUUCACGUCCUAGUAAUUUUCGUCCUUGUGGUAAUUGCCAUAGAAAAGUGAACCAGGAAAGCAAAGUCGAAAUGUGAAACAAAUCUUCUCAAUGGACAAAGUAAGAAUCCAAAACAUACCGAGGGAUAGGGGUCAGCGUGAUUUCAACUUGAGAGACUCGACAACUUACGAAAACUAAGGGUCACUUACCUACCAUAUUAUGGAAUGAGGACUAACAUUGCCUUGCAGAAUUUACUGGCUAAAUGAGGACGUUAAGAGAUCAUUCUCAACUCAGUAAGGGACCCCUCUUUCAUGCUUGGGAGGAGGGAGACCUCCCUUUGGAGCCAAGCUGGAUCAUCUUCUCGUACGUUCCUGUCAAUUUUGAGGUCAUUUAGUUUUAACCUCACACCAAAGGAUAUCAAAAACUUGUCCUCGGCAAUUUUCAGUUCCUUUUUACAGAAAUGAAUAGAUAGGUAGAUUACCUAAACACCGUUUGACAGAAAAUUUUAUGCUCAUGUAACAACUUGUGCUGAAAGAAAAUCCGCGUUUAUGAGGAGCAAAGCUUAAGGAAGUCCAGGUGAGAGCGAGUACCAUAAUUCAUGAAGAUGAAGAUAUACCCCAACAGACGCUCCCUCAGGAAGGUGAUGCAAUUCUAAUGGACUCACCAUCUCUGCCUUUCACCUAAGCCUACUCUUCACCAUUGUCUGUACGCUUUUUCGUUCUAAAAUUUUCAAACUUCAAGGUUGUCAAUUUCCUUUCAGUCCGCAUAUUAAGUGGCAUUUCUGCAUAGCGCACCUUAGGCAACCACAUACUGUAGAUGUCAAUUGGUCACCGGCCGCAGGGUGCAGACUUUGGUUGAAACGUUAACAACACGAUUCAAAGAAACUCUUCCAAGUACACAUGCGUAAAUUCAGUAAUAGAUACCAAAAAUCAAGCACAACUUCAAAGGCAGCUAAAGAAUAAAAUGAAUAAAAAAUUCGAAAUUGUCACUAAUCAAGCCAAUCAGCUUUUAAACUGUGCUUCUCAUUUUGAAUGUUUGAAGUUGAACUCCUAAACAAAAGUAACAUAGCAACCAGUGAUCCAUGUAAAGAACCUUAGAAGAGCAUGAAGAACAAAAACUUGUAUUCAGUAACCAUGCAGCUGUUAUCUUAAUUUGUUACAUGGAAGAAUGAAGGAACCCAAAGGUUGAUGCCGAAAGUCCCACUCAAAAAGCUUGCGCUUCCUUUUGCUUCUUUGUGCAGAGGGUAAGACAUUUCAGUAGCCCUCAAUUUGGCCUUUAGAAUGGCAUUCUGUUCUGUAAGCUGGACAAAUUUGAACCGCAAAAGUAAGUUUAAAACCAUCACCUAUGACCAUUGUAUAUUUUUCAACCAUAACCCAAACAAUUUAAAUUACGUGCAAUGCAUCCUACCAUGUCACAACUCAGUCAUAAUAAGAGACCACAUCUAUGAAGACCGAUUUCGCUAUGGUAACUCGCUUCUUUUUGUAAUUAAACUUUCAAAUUAAAUCAAACAUAAUAUGCUGGAUGGAUUAGCUUCUCGUGUUCUGCCUAAAGAAAGCAAGAAAGCAUUUUCUAUUUCCCUCUUACCUCUUCAACCUUGGAAUUCAGAUCUUCAACAGCUUUUUGCAACAGUGAAAUUGUUCUCAAAGUAAUGUCUUCGUAAGCAGCUUCCACCUCUUCAACAGAACCUGGAUCAAAGAAAAAAUCAUCCAGUAUAAACAGCUGCUCUAGCAAAUCCACAUCUUCAGCUUUGAAAUUCUCCUUCAACUGCAUAAAUUAUAGAAAGUUCCUUAGGCAUGAAAAGCAUAUAAGAUAAAAUUGAAAUACAGAAGUCAGAUUUACUUUGGUGAACACAAUUCAGAUAAGACCUUGUUGAGUGUCCUCUCACGUAGCUCAUCUUUAUUUAGAGACAUGGUUUCAUGCUUUUUGGCAAUUAUGUCUUCUGGGGAAUUCACACGUAUUGAUGCCUUUAUGUGCUUUGCUCUGCCAAUUAAACAGAAAUAUCUUUCAAUAGUUUCCCUUCGUCCAACAUAUAGAACACCAGGAUCCAAAGAAUUGCGUGAAAACAAAAGGACACCAAAGAAUAUCUGUGUAACUUUCAGUUAUCUAUAAUGAGAAACUGUAUAAAACUUUCAAGACAGGUAGAAUGACAUGCCUCGCACCAAAUCGAAGAGUGGACAGGCUUUCAGGAGCAUUUGAAGGACUUGGUGAGCAGCAGCAAAGCAAAGCUGUUUGGGAUUUACCUCCCUGUAAAAUGGAAGCUUAUUAGCCCUAGGAGGAGUGGAAGCACAACAAACAAUUGGAAUUCAGGAAAGGAAACUAACAAAAACAUCCUGUAGGAUCCUGGUAAGUUUAGAAUCUCGAUAGGGAACAUGAUUUGCUUUUCCAGGGGAACCACCAGUCAGAGCAUUUAUUACAUUCCCCAGAGCUGAAAGGGAUUUGUUGAUGGACUUGGCUUCUUCAAGAACUCUACCUUCAGCUCCAGUUUUUUCAACUUUCUCAGAUCCAGCCAAGUCCACAAGUAUCAACUUUCCAGAUUUCAUCCUGUUGACAGAUUCAACAUCUUCAAGUUUCAUUUCAUACAAGUCUUCACAAUGCAUAGUGAAGUAUACCUUCUAGUCUUUGUGAUUUCUUGCUGGACAGUGAACGUGUAAAUGCAAUGACUUCUGCUGCUAGCCAUAUUCAUUUCUGGACUUGUUAAACCAUACAAAGUGAUAUGCAUAAAAAAGAAUCUAAGACCUCUAUAAUACUUAGAAAGGAACAAGACAAAGGAAAGGGAAUUAUUGGAAAGCCAGAAACAAUAAUAAAAAGAUACGAGGAUACGGGUUUCUCCAACCGCUCUGUUAGCUAUCCCAUUCUGCAAUUCAAUCAGCUAUAAAAACAUCUGUUCUAGUACUUUAACACAUGGAAAAGGACAAGAAUAGAUAUCGUACACAUAGACUUUGCAGUGCCUCUGUACAAUUGGUAACAUUAAUCUGUAAAAGAGAAAACAUACACUCCUGAGAUCUAACAAGAUAUAAAUGAGCAAAAAUUUACAAAAACAAGCAGCCAACAUGACAAAGCAUAUGAGUGAAGUAACAGAUGAACACCUAGUCUCUUUGGAUGCAAAAGAUUAAGCUAAAAAAACCACUAAAGGUCUAUGUUAAAAAUUUCCAAUGAAGGAGCUCUAGUCAACACGAGCAAAUACCAAGCUUGCACUACCCUGCGAAGGAUUUAGGGCUGGCAGUAGAAAAGCACCAGUUCUUGUUCCUCUAAUACUUAAAAUAGGUGCACUUAAACACAGGAUACAAAGACCAAAUAAAACCAAAUUGUGGUAGAGACUUCUAUGAACCUGUCUUCCUCAGGCUCAUAUAGACUAUUCUAAUUACUGGCAAAGGUGCACCAUAAUCAGAUUAGGAUGAACAAUAAGGAUGGAGAAGGUAGCAUAUCUUACCUCUGUAGCUCCAUAAAGAAAUAUCCCCUGCUGCCUAUUCUCCUUAAUCUGUAUGUUGUCAUUGACUAAUUCAAACAGGUCCCUAAAAGAAGGGAGAAUGCUUAUUAUUAAGAACAUUAUUAUCUCUAGUGUACAGGUUAGGUACUGCAAACUGGAAGUCCAAGAAGUAUGUCCCAUUGAGAACGGACCUUACUUUCUCCAUGUAAAUCUCAACCUGUAAGCAUCAAAUCAACAGGUAAGUCAUAUAGCAUGAAUAAAAUAAAAAAUGAAAUUGCAAAUCUCAAGUACGCAAUUAAUUAAACUUUCUACACACCAUGGAUAACUUGAUCAUGGAGCUGGCCGUCUCAUCUGAAAGUGCGAUAGCCUCAAAAAGGCCAUUCACCACUUUUGGCAACAGUCCUUUGUUCUUCUCAUCUCCAUCCAUGAUGCUAGGCCCCUAAAGUUGAGAGAAUUCAAUGAAACUCCUAGUUUAACAUGCGUCUAUCUACUGCAGCUUCACUAGACUGUGUAGCAUCGUCCUCUUACCUCCAUGGUAUAUGUCUUCCCUGCUCCAGUCUGUUGCCAAUAAUAUACAACAGCUUCAUUAAAUUCAAAUGGUUUUCAAGUAACCCGAGAAAUCUAUUAAUAAGUCUCUGAAGGAAACUUCAUGAUGCAAAAAAUGCAAGUUUCAAUCCUGAUCUCUAAAGUUGAUGAUGUUAAUGGAAGCAUGCCAUAUAAUUUGGCUUUAACUCGCAAAUGUCUCCAGCAAACUGUAUAGUGGUCAAACUCUCGCCCUGAUCUGAUAUUUUUACUCGAAUUGAAUUUCAUGCUACAUCAACAGUUCCUCAUUAUCUAGCCAAAUCAUUGUCUACAAAAAAUGAGUAAAUUAGCUACGUGAUGAAUAGAACAAAUCAAUGUUCUUCUUGGACCUUAAUUGGAGCUUGAUAUAAUUUGAAAAACAAGAAGAUGUCCUACAAUAUUAAUUAGAAAUAAUUAGACACAUCAACAAAAAUUUUCAUUCAAACUCAAAGUAGGGUCUGCUAGCCAUUUCCCUCCCCCCAACCCCAACAUACACCAACCAAUUGAAAAAAAAAAGAAGAAAGAAAAUAUUAUUUGGCACAUGUACAACUUAUUCUUCUGUAGUAAAAUGACCAUAUACACUUCAUAACUCUAGAACAUGUGAACAAAGGACUUUUUGAUACUUAAAUCACCAGCAUGACUCUUGAAGUCAAAUUUCUAGCAUAUACAUUCCACAACUUUAACUAUGAUGAAAGUUAAGAUGGGGAAGAAAUUAUCUACAUUUGGAAAAGAAAUUAGUUGGUUUCAUGAGAAUAUGGUGAGACAAAAGCUUCUUUUUGCUGAUCAGAAACUCAAAUAAAUGUAUUGUCAGAUCACUACUUUUGACUUCAGCAGUUAAGCUUCUGCAGGAUUUUGAGAACUACCAUAAUGCAGCAUAUGUAGAAUUUCGUUAGCUGAACUCUUGAUAGAAAUUGAGGAAUAAUGUCACGUAUUCACCAAUAUCAGAACGCUCAAUAACUAAAUAGAGUUUUCAUCAUGAAAAACACGAUACCAGCAAAUCAAGAAAAUAAAUAUUGAUCAACAUUAUCUGCCGUGGCAGCUGCAUACUAUUAUCUCUGGCAUUUGGGAACGUAACCUCACUUAUUUUAAUCAAGUGCCUCAUUCUAUGUAAAAUUUAAGAACAAAACAAGACACAAGCAGCUACAAUCUCAAACAUCUGGAACUUUAUGCCUUCUUUCAUACAAUUCUUGAUUUAUCUUAAUUUUUCCUCAUGAUCAUAAGUAUGCUGUAGUUAUGAUGGUUAAAGCAACAAUUAAGAAAAGCUACAAAGUGGACAUCUCAUGUUUAUUAAUUCUGCAAUUAUUUAUUCUGAAAUGCAGGUUCUGCAAUCAAGAAGUUUGUUAAAUCUGCUUGUAGAAUACUCAAUAUAUUACUACGAAGGCACUGCAGACGUGAAAAGACAACAAUGGGAAAUGUUGAAUCAUGACUACCUGUCCAUAGGUGAUAAUUGCCCCAUUAAUUCCAUCAACAGCAGCUGUUGAAACAAAAAAUAAAAAAUAAAAAGAUGUGAAUAAGAAUUACAGGUUAAACUUCUUGUUAAAAGACAAUUGUAGGAAGUGAAAGCAAAUCCAAUUGUUCCACUAAUACUGCCUGUUUCAUAAAAAAAAAAAAAAAAAAAGGAUCAGCUUAAGCUUAAGGUUUACUGACCAUAGACAACAAGAGAUGAAUUCGUUCCUGGUUUACAAACACAAAACGAGAUUUUGAAUCUACUAGCAUCAACCGCUAACGUCUUCAAUCUUUGGAUGUAACCAAGAUAUAGAGUUUUUGAGUCGUAAUCUUACCAAUCUUCCAGUAUAAAGGACCAGAUCAACUUUGAUAUUUCCAUUCUUUUUUUUUUUUCACUUCUAAUCAACUUAGCAAUUCUAAUCUACAGUUUGUCUCAUCUUUUGUUUAAAGCAAACAUUUCUCACAACAUCUACCAAACAUUAAAAAAUAUACAAGCGCUAACAACAUUCAAUAAUCUCAUUGUAGAAAGCUGAAACCAGAGAAUCAAUAGAAAUUUGAUACCUUGCACAAGAGGCAGAGCAAUAAAAUCAUACACUUCAGAUUGCGGAGAUCCUGGAUAGAAAACUCUAUCGAAGCUAAAAUUGAAGUCCUCCUUCUCAUCCUACCAUACACCGACAAAAUUCACAAAAUUUUCUUAUUUCACAAAUUUAUCACUUGAAAUUAUGCUUCAACAACUCAACAGGAUACAAUUUUAGUAGAAAAGCAUAUAACUUACGAACAUAUACUAACAUUAUUGUCGAAAUUGAAAAUUAGAACCUUGAAUAUGAAGGAUUCAGAGUCUACGCGGUGUAUGCAGAUGGAAUCGCCGUGAUCGGCUCUUUCUUUCUGAUUAAGAGGUCUGAAUAGCGCGCAAACUUUGAUUUUUGACAUUUUCUGUGUUUGAAUUGAUGAGAACCUGAAAAUCGACCACAAAAUUCAACUAAAAAUAUACAAUUGAUUAUUGAUCAAAGUUCGGUUUUGAACUACACAUUCACAGUUCACAGACCAAAAAUGCAUAAGCACAGGGAACUAUACCUGAUUGGAGAAGAAGACUGAAUGAGAAUUCGAGGAUUUUUUUGAAGAUUUUCCCGCCAAAAUCUGGAGAGAGAAAACUUUGGAGUCGAAAAUGAUGAUCAGCGACGUCUUAACGGAAAAACAAGUAUUCGGACCUAUUUAUAGGGCUAAUUUCUUAAAAUAUACCUGAAAAAAAAAUUCCGUUAAAUGUACCUCACCUUUGGUACCAAACUAUAGCUGACAUACCAAAUCAGCACGGCAGAAAUUUUUUUUUUUUAAGUUGUAGGCUACCGUGCUGACUGUGCACGGUAGCCUGCAGUCGAAUUUUUUUCUUUUAAAAGGCAGCCUGCUACCAUGCACUCUUUUUUCAAGGCAGCCUUCUACGCCAGUCUUUUUCACCAAGAGCUUGUUUUGAAAUGGGGCGCAUGGGGGGAAGUACUUUGGAAUGAUUUGAUUGGGACGCUAGUGAGUUAAUGAGCACCAUUUACAUGGUUCUAUCAACCCUUUUCUUGCGUGUUCUGAAUCGACUUCCUUAUUUAUAAAGAAGAGAUGCCCCGUAGAAGACUUCAGGCCACCGAAGCUAACAAAAGGCUAAGGAGACCCAUUUAGUAUGGUAUUUUUAUGCCGACUAAAGUAACUUCAGGGGUUAGCUUUUCAAAUGUUAAAAGAAUAAGGGCAGCUAAUUCAUCCGCAUCUGUUGGAGGAAGGAUAUCCUUUCGCCCAAAAUUUACUUUUCAAAAGGGCACCUGCUACGGUGCUGAUUGUGCACAGUAGCAAGCUGUCCGUGCACAGUUAGCACGAUAGCCCGCAACUUUUAAAAAAAAAAAAAUUUGCUGCUGUGCUGACUAGGCACGAUAGGUAUAGUUUUGUACUACGGGUCUAUCAGAGAGGUACAUUUGGCGGACAUUUUUUUUUCAGAUAUAUUCUAAGAAAUUAGCCUAUUUAUAGUUAGCAUAGUGCACACUUGUGGGCAAAAUAUGCUAUUGCCGAGUUGAAGAGAAUUACGUGAAUUGCCCAACUAAAGCCUAUAUUUACCUUUUUGGACCCUAAAAGUUUUUCUUUUCUUUCUUUGUUUUGACAAAUAAAGGAUUAGUGGUUUCCUUUGCUUCAAAUUGAACUGCCAGAAAGCGGAAUAUAUGAAUGAAGGGAUCUCAACUCAUUUGUUGGAUGAAAGAUCAAUUUUUGCAGGCAUGGUUUGGUUAAGUUUACCAUAAAACUUAUUAACGAAACUAGGUAGAAUGAUAGUUUUUCUUGUGACUUAUUAAAGUAGUACAAAACGAUUAACUAUUAAACGUGACUUUGUUUAUAUAUCUUUCUCUUCUACUUGCAGCGAAUCCAUCUAUAAAGCUCAAGAAAUCCACCUUCCUAUCCUCAUUAACAUAUAUAGUAAAUGUGUGAAUGCCAAUCCCUCCAAUUGAACCCAAUUGCUGACGUGGCACGCUGUGAUUGGCCGAUUGAUGGUAGUCCUCCGUUGAUUGAGCUGAUGAAUUGAAUUGAGGACAAAAUCGAGAUUUCACCUCAUCAUUCAAUAGAUAGGGUUUCUGAAGCUGCUGCCGAGAGUCUCUUCUGCGCCUCCCUAUCUAAUCCUCCUCCUCGAUUUCUUUCUUUUUUUCUUCUCUCUUAUUUUCACUUCUUUUCUUUCCAUGAUUCGCUGUUGUCCAGAUCUUCCUCUUCGUGGCUCUCCAGCUCCAUUACUCUCCAUUGAUCAAGGUGAUAACAAUGAAUGGGCCUCCCUAUCUAAUCCUUCUUCUUGGUUUCUUUCUCCUUUUCUUCUCUCAUUUUUACUUCUUUUCAUUCCUUGAUUCGCUGUUGUUCAGAUCUGCCUCUCCGUGGCUCUCCAGCUCCAUUACUCUCCGUUGAUCAAGGUGUAACAAUGAAUGGGAAGCAAACAUUUAUUUUACUUUAGGCUACUUAGUCAUAAUUUUUUCUUCAUAUUACUUAGCCAUAUUAAAAAUCUUUUUUCCCCUUUUCGUUUUUUCCGCACAUGAUUCCUCGAACCCAUCUGCUGUAAUAUUCGUCCCAAAGAUAUCUUCUUUACACCCCCAAUGUUAAUAUGGAUGGUCUGUAUCAAAAUUAGGGAUGCCCAGAUAUUAGAAAUUCGCUAGCUUUUGCUCCAGUCUUGGGGGAUUCAAAUCUUGCAUUCUUUUUUUCACAACUUUCUACUGUUCGAUGUUUCCUGUUUCGUUUCAUGGAGUUAUCUUUUUAAUACAAGAGAGAAAAAAUUAUGAUUACUUUAGGUUACUCAAUCAUUGUUUUUCUUUCUUUUUUUCCUUGGGCAGAUUGGAAGGCAACAGUUGUUCGUCUCAUAUUUUAUGAGAAAAAGGUAGAGGUGAGCUUUUUUUCCUACAGAUUAAUUCGUGAUCAUUUGUUUCUAUCUUGGAGAGUCGGCUAUUUUCUCCUUCCAUCUUUAAAUUCUAACAAAUACAUUUUUUAUUAUUGCUUUUUUUCCUAUACACUAUUAUCUUUAUUGUUGUGUGAUUAUUCUCUUCUUGUGCGAACAUCUAUAUGGUUAUUCUACUAGCUGUUUUUUUCUCACUUGUUAUUGAUAUGUGCCUUUUUCUUUUUAGAAAAUUUUUAGUGCUUCUUCUCUCCCGCAUUCUCGUUCCUCAUGGUGAGUUUUCUAAUUUUUGCAUCCGUGCUUACUUUUAUUUUUUUUUCCUGAGCUCUAUUUUAAGUUUUUUAUUAUUGUUAUAAGUGUUGUUGCUGUUUAUAUUUGGAGGAUUUGUUUUGUCCACUUUUUUAAUUUGCAAUUAUGGUUUCUAAUUUUUUUUCUCUAUAUAUAAGUAGCAAAAAGUAGUUCCUACCUUUAUAUUUGAUUUCAGGUUUUCAUCUUCAAGGUCAAAGAACUCAGUAAACGUGGCAAAAAAGGUUAUUACCUUUUUGUUUGAUUUCAUGUUUUUAUCUUCAAGGUUAAAAGAACUCAUGCAAAUAUAAUGGAUUUUAAUGUCUUAAUAUCUGUUUUCCUUGCUGAAAAGUUUUUUAUGAUUUUUUCAAAAUUUCCCCUCGACUUAUUUCCUAAUCAUUCACUUCAAGUAGCACAGCAUACUAGAUCUUAUAUUUGCAAAAUACCAAAACAAACAGGUAGCGUUUGUAUAAAUCUCCAUUUUUGAAUUUGUGAAAUAGAAGAAAAGAAAACGUGGUCUUCUUAUUUCUUGUACUUGCUGUGUGUUUUGAAGUUCAAUUGAAACUCAUGUGCUUGGAAAACUUUAGAAAUUAACAUUUUCAUUUUAUUUUAAAUAUUGUUGGGGUUGUCAAAUUGAAUUAAUUGAAGAAUCUUUAAAUAUGACACAUAUGCUCUUAUUUUCCAAAUGCUUAAAAAUUGCACUUUUUGAUUGAGUUUUUACUAAACAGGGACAAAAGUAGGAUUUCGCCUUGAAAAAAUGCAUAUGCAAUUAGAAUGUAUGAACAAAAUUAGUUUAGUGGUUCAUAUAUGCCUCAGCAAAAGUGUACUGAAAAAAGAGUUUGAUCUCAAAUGAAGGUCCGGACUUUCUCACCCACUGGUAAUUAGUUAAGCAAUGGAGGUAUGCAAGUGACCAGCAAAUUGAGUACUCAAUGAAUCGGUUAUUACUUUAUUUUUGGAGUUAAGAUUUUUGUUACAAUCUAUUUCCAUCCAAGAGGUUUGCUAAUGUGUUGCUUGCUUAACUAGACUUCAUCCUCUAUAUAACAUUUUCUUGCCUUGAAUCAUAAAAGAAAUGAUGGCCGUAUUUUGUUUGGAAAGUGCUCUGCUUUCAAUGCUCUAUGCUUUUAAUUCAUGACCCUAAGUUGCCUCUUACCACUUCUAAAAAUUUUAACAUGGAAAUAAUUACUAGGUAAUUCAGUUUUGGGUGUUUUAAAUCUGUAUUUGCUAAACAUGAUGUUCCCUGUUACAUUUUAGUAUGAUUAAGUUUGGAAAGUCUGAUUUUUAUAGCCAGUUUGUUGUACUUUGUGAAAUUGGAUCCAACUGAGAAAGAACCCUAAACAGGUUAACGGACAACAAUUAAAGUUCGAAUUGCCAAUUGAAAGAUUCAAUGAGUGAAUGUUAAACAGAUUUUCAAUCUACCUUUAAGUUUUUCUACGAGAAAGAACUUAAUGGAAGGAAAUGUUACUUUUGAAGUAGAUUUGCUAAACUCUCUUGUAAAUUACAAUAGGAUGCAUAAUCCAUGCCAAAUAUGGCAUCUAGAUGUUCCAGUAGAAGAAGACCCCUCUACUUUGAGAGAAAUUGGUAUAGACUUCUUUGCAGAAUCUUAGAAUACAAUUAUUAUUUCUUCCACUUUUGUUUUUAGGCUGAGGCAUAUAUGCCAUAUUUGCCGCAUCUUCUAUCAGUUUUGUAGCUACUGCAUUUCAAUUGUGUUGUUGCAGUUUGCAAGAAUUAUUAUGGUGCUCUUGAUUCUCAUUGGGCAAGAUCCAAGUAAUGAACUUUGCCACGAAUCCUUGGAAAUUACUUCUUAUGUAUGAUUUGUUUAUAGCCUUUCCAAUUACCAAUAACUUCAAUUCUUCGGCACUGCUUGGAUUAAUAACAAAAAUAGGUUAGCUUGAGAUAUGAAACAUUUCAGAUUUCGUCAUUGUUAGAUAAAUUUUAUAGCCAAACAUGAUUGGUCUUUUAAUUUUUUUUUUGUGGUAUUUAUGAGCAAUAAUUUGAUUUGGACAGCAAAUCAGAAAGUGUAAGCGCCCAUAUUUGAAACUAUUCAUUUUUGUUUCGUGUUAGGUAAUGGAUGAUAUUUUUGCACUAUAUUUAACCCACAAAUGCAGUCUAAUAUAGGUUGUCCUGCUAGGUUCAGCUCUUGAUUCACACAUCCAAUACGAUUUUAUCAAUAUGGACUGUGCUUAUUUAUUUAUUUUUUCCUUCUUCCUUUUGGGUUUUGGUUGCCAUAAUUAUCGACACUAUGUAUCUUUGUUGUUUUUGUUGGAAUCCUCUAUUCGUAGGCUAGAAACAUGCACAAAACUAAACUUCUUCGAAAUGCUAUAGCCUUAAGAAAUCCAGGAUUGGCAGGAGCAAAAGAACUCAGUAGAGACUCCUCUGGUUGUUGGAUGGAAGGCUAUAGUAGAAACAGUGCAAACUUGGGAAUUGCUAUCAAUAUUUUGGCUGAACUAUGGGGUUUUAGAGACGGAAUUAUGCUUGCUUUGGAGUUAAAUAUUCAAUUCCUAGAUAUUGAAGUUGACUGCCUUGACAUCAUAUCUCUAAUGAAAUCAAAUACUCUCAGUAAUCAUAAUAAUCAUUGUUUGCAAUAUAAUUGUUGAUUACAGAGUCCUAUUGCGGUUGCAAUAAGAAGUGAAUAGAUGUGUAGAUGGCUAGCUAGACUGGGAGGCAAGAUGGAAUGGCAUUUUGUAAUUUUGGAUUCCUAUCCUCAUGAACUACCUUUUGCUUUAGAUGAAGAUUUGAGGGGAAAUUUUUUUCCUCGUAAUACUUGUUUGGCUUGUACUUGGUGUUUUAUUUAAUCUAUUUGUACCCAAAAAACAGGAAAAUGUUCCGGAGCAUUUUUUUCCUUCUCCUAUGUGACUUGACCAAAACUAACCGUUAUAGGAGACAUCCGGUCUUUAAAAUUUCGAUGGAUGAGUAUAGUCCAGAAAGUACUACCAAGUACCAACCAAUCGAGACUACAAACUUUGUUCCCCCCACCGCCAAGUGCAGCUGCUACAGUACUUUAUUUGGAUUGAUAUAAUAUACUAUUGCACAAGUUACUUCUCCAUGAAUGUUGAGUUGGACAAACAUAUAUAAAGCCAAUCUCGGCUAUUUAUACUUAUUAUGUGAUUUUUUGGAUUAUUGUUUCUUUCAUUGAAUUGUAAUACAUAAGCGGAUAUAGUUGAACAAAUUUGAAAAUUUACUUGGCAUAAUUGAAAACUCUUGCAUUCCCCAAUUGAAAACUCUUGUAUGCGAAUUAAUCUCUAACUAUUUUACCCAAUUUUUUUUGUCAAUCUUUCUUGAAACAAUCUAUUAAACAAAAGGAACACCUUUACUAAGAUUGUUAAUAAACUUUGUAGGUGGAGUUGGCUUUAUUUGUUUUGCUUGAUAUUAGAUCUCAUCAUGAUUGCGGUAUGGCUUUUCCGGCUAUUAGAGUAAGUAUUUGGAUUCUAAAUUAUUUCUUAACAAAAAGUUGAAUCGGAUUAUAGUCAAUGGAUGCCAGUAUUUUGCUUGCGAUUCUAAAAAAAUUGUAUAUAUAAUAUAUAUAUGUAUAUGAAGAGGACCCAGUUAAUUUUUUCUUUCAAUUUUGAUUGAUUAAGAGCCUAGAUAUUGGAGCCUUGAAAGCGUAUGGAGUUCUUAGCUCGAUAUCUUUGUUUUUGUCUUCCUUUCUAAUACUUUUAGUAAGUUGUUCAUUAUGCACCCUAACAAUUAGUGGCUAUAAAAAUUCCAUUUUCUCUUGGUUUUAUGAUGAUUUCUUUUAAUGUUUUAACACUUGUGCGUGAUGAUCUAGCUCAAUCAAAUUAAAGUUUAUGAACAACAUUAUUAGCUUCUCCUUGAUUACGUGUAUCUAUUUUUUUUAAUUCUAUUUUCAUUCUAUGCAGAAGCAAGGAGCAUCUUAGUGAUCUUAGUAGUCUAAUCAUGAUAUUGUCUUGCAUUUUCUUAACAAAUAUUCAUAUUCACUACUAAAUAAGACUACAAAAACAGAACGGCAAAGCUUUUGGUGCAUAUUUGUGUAACUUUUCAUACUUAAUAUAAGAAUUUGAAUCACUGGGCAUUUUUGGGCAACCGUGAAAAUUACACCGCGCAUCGUGCGGUGUUAUCCUCCUAGUAUGAUACAAAGCAGCAUUGCAGUUUCCCAAAAAAGUCAUAAGAACAUGGCAAUGGUGGCUGCUCAUUCCCAUGAGCUACCGAAAGUCAAUUCUUGGACCCAAGCUGCAGCAUAUGGUUUUCCUAUAACAAUGCACCCUUCUGCUUAGAUAUGUCAACGACCACAACUGAGAAUCUAAUCGAUGGUAAAGCACCCUUUAUGGUUUCACACUAUGCCACCUGAUUUUCCUUACAUGUCAAAAAUUUCUUCGUAUCUCUUAUAGUUUUUGGACAAAAAGUAGUGACUAUACCGUCGUUAGUUGAAAUGUUAGUAUCGCCUUUUCUGAAAUACUAGCAGAACAACAGCAUAAUGACUUCACAUAAAGUUAUAAAGAAAUCAUGUCAAUAUAUGCAAAACCACAGGGAAGUUGGAAUAGAUUUAUAGUGUUUUCUCACACACGUUUUCGGAGGCCAAUUGAAUGGAAGUACCUUACAUGCACUUUAGACUUCAUAUCAAAUCACAGGGAAGUUAUGUGGAUACCUUAAAAGGUUGUGAUUACAUGCAAAAUCACAGUGGGUUACUAGUAAUUUACCCAAAUAAUUACUAGAUCACUAUCUGCAACGUCGGAUACAAAAUUGAUACACCAAGCUGGCACCAGAGAGGGUAUCUCUGCAUGGAGAACAGAAACUUGGCAGAAGUUAAUUGUAUGAAAUGCUAAAAAUCCGUAUGGUGGAUCGCUGAUAUGAUUUUGCAUAGGGAAGCAAAUCAAAUGGCUUCGAAUUCUCAGUAAUGUCGGCGACAGUAAGGUUUGCCUCCUUCGUUAGCUCAAGAAAGUAAUUGAAUGUCUCAAUGUUACGAAUCACAGAAGCAAUAUAUGCUACAGGGCGUCUCUCCAACGCAUCAUCUUUGUCCUCAACACAUGGAGCACUGCAACUCUCGGCUUUUCCUUUGCUGCUAUCAAACUCGAAAUCCGCAUGUUGAACUUCACUUCUGAUACAUUUGGAAUCUGGUUGACAUCCCUCACUGCGAACACUUCCAUGAUUAGGGAAUGAUGUUCCACGUUUCAGAAGAACAGUCAGGACGCGAACAAGAUGGGGAAGGUAUAAUGGGUCAUAAAUGACAUCUGCACCCACACUGCAGAAUAGUAGAGAAGGUUACAAGGCUUACUUUGAGCUAUAGGAGAGGAAAAGCAGAAAAAACUAGGAAGUCUAAUUUACAUGAACUGGAAAAAGGAUGUCAUGUGUUAGAUCUCAAUGCUGUAGUUGUGAACUGCUUAAGGUGCAAUUAGCACCAAGAAACCAUGACAGAUAGGUGCAAUGCACAAAGGGAGGUGGCUUUUAAAAGAGAGGCAUGGGUGGAAAGCACACGUGCAUAAAGUAUUACAAAUACUGGCUUCUAAGGGUAACAACUCACAACAAGCAAAUCAACAUUUAGCAAGUGGUUGAGAAUUGGCAGCAGGAAAGUACGGGAUACCAGAACAGCUUUAAAGGAAGAUGUGUGAGAGAGAGAGAUGCCAGUAUGGAUACUUGGGUUGGGAGGGUAAAGCAGGGAGAGAAUAUGAACAUGGAGCAAUCAGUAACUUCCCCAGCCAAAAUAUGCCCGAAAAAAAAAAAAUUCUCUCUCAGUUCCCUGGAAAGCAUUCUAAAAGUUGGAACAUUGAUGAUACAUGGACAAACUAAUCAUCGCAAAACUAACAAGUUCCUUUCUACAUCAGAAAAGAGAACCAAAGGCAUGGAACAAUGUUCACAGUCUCGUAGAAGCCAAAUAGAUUUCUACUGUAUUUAAAAAAAAAAAACAACAACAACAACAACAACAAAAAGAAACAAAAAGCAAAAGAACUUACAUUAUGUCUGGCGCAAAGUUUUGCAGCUCAAUUUCUGUUGCAGAUUCCCAUGGUAAAUGAACGCACUGCACCUGCAACCAAAAUUAUGUCAAGUUGAUUAGCUGCUUGUCCUUGUCCUAGUAAAGUAAAUCCAUGAACAGCAAGGCAAGCUUUAUAACAAUGAAAAGCUUCUAGCCCUUCGCAGAAAUUACCUCCAAAUUUUAGGAAGGACCAAACCUCAUCAAAAUGACAGCAGAAAUAAGAAAUGUCUUGAAAAUGCAAGGUUUUCAGAUACUUAUAUUCCUUUAUAAAGGAAAUCAGUUUCUUUAAAAUUUAGCUCUGCUAGUUUUAGGAAACCAGAACACAAUACUAAGAAAACCAACAUAUGUAGGAACCAAAGUCCUAUACUUACUGUACUUGCAUCUUUUUUGCAUUCUGGUACGUCAAUUCUUGUGCUGAGCAGAUUUGACUCCAAAUUAAGCCUCAUAUUGGAUAAAGUGGACAGGUCGCCAUCACUCAAAACCACCUGCAUAAAGAAAUCAAUUUAAGAUAUGAUGGUAUCAGAAGUCUUUUAUAUGCUCUCAAGAAUCUUUUCACUCUGAUGAGAGGGAAAUAAAUGCAUAAAAAAUCAUGCCAUUUAACAAAACUUGAGAAGGAUGUUCUUGAAAAGACAGUAAACAUACUGUUUAACCAAUGAUAAAAGCAGUUUUAUUGGACAAUUUUAUCUACUAGUAGCAACUGAGACAGAAAUGGUUGAAAAGUUUAGAUGUAUUCCCAUAUAUAGCUCUUGCUCGAAAAGACUCUCAAGAAGUUUACCCAACUAGAAGCAGUCCAAGCCUCAGCAGGAAUCAAAUUUUCUUUGGCAACAUUGACCAAGAUAUCUACAUUUCAAGAUUAUAUUUUUAAAGGUGAAAUUUGGACUCUGAAGCUUUCUCCUAGUUGCUAGAAUCCAUCUACUGAAGACCAUAAUAAUUGUGGAUAUUUAGACGCCAGACAUAGUAUGAUCAAAUUAAUCAACAAAUUAUAUAAGUGCUCCAAACAGAGGAGUUAAAAUGCCAAUAUUGGGAAUUAUUUGAGAUCUCAAACAGUAAGACCCAUAGAGAUAUUAUUACCUAAGGAACAUUGCGACACAGUAAGCGCAUAAAAAAUGUACUGGAAUAAUAAAUUACCAAUUCUAUUCCUAAAGCUGCCAAUCCAAUUUUGUAAGCUGAAUCUUUCCUGAUAAAUAGAUCUAACAUCAAUCGUAAUCUCAAUAAAUAUGUCAAACCUACUGUGGAAUCAACGUGAAUGGAGGCACCAAAAUGCAGGUAUAGGUGUCAAUGGUAUAAAUGGUAAAAAAUUUGUUGAUCAAACCAAGAAUUCAACACUUUUCAGUGAAUUGAAUUAAGCAUCUCAGAAGUAUUCAAGCUUUGUUUGCAAAAUCAUAAGAAUUAUCAAAACUGUACUUAUAAAUCUUGAGCUCUCUUUAUGGAGGUUUAGCUUUCCCAAAAUAGUUAUUGGAACAGUUCAUUGCAACUUGCAUUGAUUUGCUACAACCAGGCCUCAACACAAGAAAUAAUACUUUCAUCUCUAACCAAGCUGUCAACAUUUCUCCAAUUUAAAGAGUUAAGAGUAUUCUGAACAAAGCCCAUGAAAAUUACCAAAAUCAGAUGAUUGCUAUUUGUAUACAGGCCUUCAUAAGAGGUGAAGUGCCUUGCAUCAGGUAAUUACAUAAUUGAACAUCAAUCUGAGAAUUGAAAUAUAUCCAGCUGACAGUAAAUGCCAACCAGUGCCCUCAACGAUAAAAAUGAAACUUUUAGGCGCACAACUCAAAUUCUAUAUGCGUCUUAAUUGCACAGAAACGAGAAGGGUUCACUGUAUGAUCUUCAAUAUAUUAAGAGUAAACACAAGUCUCUGGAUAAAGAUGGAAGAAGGCCUUACAUAAAACCAAUAAGAAAGAUGGUCGAAAGCAUAUGGAUGCAUUUUUUUUUUUAAUUCAACAAAAAGCAUGCUGGUUCCUUCAACGAACUGUAAUACAUGCAUAACAAUUAGAGAGGAGAGAGAGUUUGUGAGAAAAGCACACUGACUCCUUGCAGAAACCAUAAACAUACACAUAAUGGCUUGAGUUAGGGAGAGACUUACAGCAGAAGCUUUCACGUGGGCCAAACAUAUACCAACCAAACCUACACCUGAACCAACCUGUUUCUUGGUCAAUUACCACAAAAAUAAAAUUCCACUAGAAAUAUAACAUAAUCAUGAUUAGUAAAAUGAAGAUGAAUAAGCAAGUCAAAAUUCACACUCUUCCCAGGGAGUGAAAGAUGGAAAAACAGAACAGCAACUAAAUUCUGGAAGGCAUACCUCACCUCAAAACAAGAUCUAUUGGAAAAUAUGUUUGGGAAAGAAAGUAUAAACUCUGAGAGGAAAAGACUUGAGGGCCAGAUUGAACACCUGUUUAGACCAUGACAGAAAGGAAAUCCAAUGAGGUCACAAACCGAUCUCAGACCAACUAAAGUACAUUAGACAUUAAAAAUAUAAAAAAAACAAUGGUCAGACUAUAGAAAACCACUAAUAGGGAGAUUAAAAGAAAAUCUUGUCGAAUUUCAUUCCUAAGAAAAUAAGAACAAAAAUGUUUUUUGAGGAUAUAGCAUUUUCUCCUAUGUUGCAUUUUUGCAUUUGAACAAAUCAGUAGGUUGCAUUUCAGCGACUCAAUAUUUGCCUACUCAUACAUAUAUGCUAAGUUAAGAAACAUGCCAAUGAGAUCAUGCAAAUAAAAGACACUAUUAUUGCACGAGGCUCCCCCACUUCAGGUCUAAUUAGAUUUCUUAGUUUUAUCUUUUUCUUUGUUUUGCAGGCCCCGGGGGCCCAGGGAGUACACUUACCAGUCUGUUUAAGUUAUUUUCAUUUACUGAACAUUUGACUUCCCAAGUAACAAAACGCAACCUUAGUCUUACUUAUGGUCAAAGAUACAGAAAAAUCCUUCUCCAGGUUUUCCCAACUCCCCAGACCACUUCUUUUCUCAUUUUUAAUCCAGUACAUCCACCCUUCAAAACUUUUCCUGCAACUCAAUGUUAAGCAAACCAAACCUGGUAAACUCAGUUAGAAACAUUUUCUUACUUAAAAAGAGUAAUCAUUUUCACCAUAUUUGAACUACAAAUUCAUGUCCUGCUGUAAUGAACAUCUCAAAUCAGAAAAAAGAGCAACUGCGUAUAUAAGGUCUCUGAAUGACGAGUCUGAAAUCAAGGUAAGACACAAGUUGCCUAUCACCCAGAGUCCAUCUUGCAUCCAUGAUUCAGGAAUCCCAGCCAAGCUAGUUGGCCUUCUUAUUCAGUUACGUAUUCAAAUAUGAAACUACUAUUCUUUCUCUGUCAACUUAUGGUCUGUCCUUUUGAGAAGAAGCAUGCCACUUGCACUGAUGGACAUUGAAAAAACAACAUGAAAGUUCUUGUAUCCUUUUCCACAUCCUCCUGGCCGAAAAAAGGGGGAGGGGGAAGAGAGAAAUGGUAUGUCCAUCUACCCCAUUACUUUGAUCAAGAUUGAGCUCAAUUUCAUAUGUGGCAAUUCUGCCAAGAUCUAUUCAUUAGUUGGGGAGAGAAAACGAGAAGCAGAGUGGGCAUAACAAAGGUAAAACUUGGCAAUCAACGUGGAGUAUGAAGAGGGCCAUACAGUAUGGAAAAUCUCACACAACAAUUCCCUUCCCAGACACUGGAGAAUUAGCACCUCACAGUGUAAAUAAAAAAUGUGACAAACAUUAUCAUUUCCCUAGGGUUGGUUUGAAGAGACAAGUAGAAUAGAAAUUUUAAACGAAGAAAGCAUGUAUUUGGGAACUAUUAACAUCUCCACAUUCACCAGUCAAGAAAGCAUAUUGAUAAUUUGUUCACUUUCUGCACUACUUCUAUCCAACAGCGGGGGUGAGAUUGGCAAAAUAAUACCUAUGCAACAGUAAAGAAAGCAACCUCUUUCCAAAUAUAUUUUCUCAUUGCAAUCCUUACAAAAUUGGAUUCCCUCAUCAACAUUUAAAAGGAAAAAGGGUAUACCCUGUAUCUCCUUCAAGCAUGUUCACUGAACAAUGAAGUGACACUUCCAACUUCUUAGAUUUCGGACAACUUGAAAGUUCACAACAUUCUACAAGUGCCAAAUCAACGCAAAAACUAUUAGUAAUCACAAUAACAAAAGAUAAUAAAUGCAAGGUAUUUUAUAUAAAUCCUCACCAUCAGGAAAAAGAAAUGAAAUUCUUUUCAAAACCCUUGAGUUCCCUCCUGAAAAGUUGUCACCCUGGAAAACCCACAAAAAUUGAACCAAAAAAAAAAAAAAACUUAUCUUUCAAAUAAACUUUUGCAAGAAGGCCAUAAAAUAUAACAAGAAAAAAAAUUUUAAGAAAAAAUCACUACCUUUAAAUUAGUCAUGAUAAAAGCAUAAUGCUCAUAUAAUUCAUCCAACACAACACCUCCAUCUGACUCAAUUUCGCCAAUUAGCUUCUUUAAAACCCUUUUCAAGUAAGGCCCCUGCUGGCAACCACCAUCCCCUACCUAAACAGAUACAUGAAAACCUCUCCCAAAAAAAAAGAAGAAGAAGAGGAAGAAAGAAAGAGGACCAGUCAAAAAAUUCAAAAAUUUCAUUAACUUACUGUAGUGUUAAUAUAAUUGUUCCAAAUGAAGCCCUGUAUACUUUCCCCAAUCAAACCACCACCACACUUCCUGACAGUUGUUCAAAAACUUUGCAUGUGAGCCCCAGAAAUUUACCGUUCCGCACAAUAUGAUAGCAUUUGUUUACCUUGCCAAGGAGAUUAGGACGUCAGGGGGUUCCAUUGCAAGAAAGGCGGAAAUCAGAUGUAGAUACGGAGGCUUAGAAAUGUCUACUGCUUGCUGGUUUUCUUGGAUAUCCAUGGCCUUUCUGAACAGAGUAUGCUUGCAGACGACGUGUUUGUUAUUUUGCGCCAAAGACUUCUUUGCUGGGGAAAUAAAAAAACCUUUUUAAGGAAAAAUCGUUUUUCAAGUGGAUAAAAUUUCGUGUCCGAACCUCUUGCGACCAUAUUUUGCCUGAAUCCAUCAUUUUAAAAGCAAAAAUGUUAGAUCUUAUUUGUAGUUAAACAAAUAAUCCUGUCCAUUUUUAUUUUUGCCCAUAAAAGGUCAGAUCUACUAGAAGUAGCAAAAUGAAUUCGUAUCCACCAAUCCAUCCAUAUAAACCAAUCUUAAAUGGAUUUGGAUGAUACAUAUAAAUUUAAUGGUUUUAAAUAAAUAAUUUAUUUAAAUUUAAUUAUAUUGGUAGAUUUAAAUGGAUUAUCUAUGUGUCAUUCAUAUACAUUCACUUAACUUAAAAAACAGAAAACAAAUAUGGUGAUUGCAAAUAUUUAUAAAAAGCGAGAUAGAACCUCAUGGACUAUUUAUUCUUUCCUUCAUAACUUUCUCACAUGCCAAAUUAAUUUUGUGGAAUCACCUAUCCUUUCUUUCAUAGCUAGAAGUGGCAAAAUGAAUAUAUGGUUGAUAAAUGGUUUUAGUUAAUUAUUAUAAUUAUAUUUAUGUAAUAUAUAUUAUAAAAUUAUUAAUAUUAUAAAAUAAUAUAUUUAUAUUAUUUAUAAAUAUAUUUAUAUGUGCAUAUAAUUAUAAUAUAUAUAAUUAGAAAUCUUAGUUCAAAUUUCCGUGUUCCUUUUUCACUUCUCUAAUCCGAGUUUAUUGUCAAAAUAACUCUUCUUUUGAAACAUAUACCCAAAGUAACCUAAUUUUAAAAUUUAUUACCUUUAUAAUUCUUUUUUUUCAGUAUAGGUUGCAUAUGUGAUAGGAUAGAGAUAGAGGUACAUACUAUCUCUCUUUCCCAAUUAAUAUCUUCCCUGAUUCUCUCUCUGAAUCUACCCACUUUUUUUUCCUUUAUUAUUUUUUGUCCUUUCGUUAUUUUUCCUUGUCAAAUGUAAUUGUUAAAAUUCAAUAUUUAUAUUAACAACAUCUAAAACUUCAUUAUCAUUCCUGAUAUUGUAUCUGUAGAUGAAAAUAUUCUGCUCGAAUUGAUAAUUUCUAGAUAAAUGAAGAUUAUUCUCUUGUCUUUUCUGUUGUGCAGUUUUUGGAACAUUCCUAUGGCCUUCAAAAAAUUUUGAAUACUAAUUGCUUUAACAAAUGAUUUCUCACACCGUGUGCUUGAUAAAAUGUCUAAGAGGAAAACUACAUAACAACAUAAAUUCAUGUUCAAUAUAAGCAUGUUCAUUUGUAGUGCCUCUCUAUCACAUAAUCAAAUAAUCUCGUAUACUUGAAGUAUUUUUGCACAUUUAUUCAACAUCAAUUAAUGGCUUGUGUUACUUUUGAGAAACUUUAGCAUUAUCUUAAUUGCAAUAGUUUGAUUACUUUUUGUAAAAGUACUUUUCAAGGAGUAGAAAGCAUAACAUAAACAAAUAUGAUAACCUUGAAAUUUUUUAACUUUUUCUUAUUAUUGCUUAUAAUGUUCAUUGCAAUUUUUGUAUUUUGCAAAUUUAUUUUUGAAAAAAUAUAUGCAAUAAGUUUGAUACAUUUUAAAAAAUUGCAGAGAGCAAUAAUAGCAAGGUCGAUAAUGGUAAAUUUUAUUUUAAAUAAUUAUAAGGAAAUUAUCAAAGUUAUGAAAUUUUCUUGUGCGACUAUAAUAAAACAGUUUAAAUUUUUAGUUUUUAUUGAAAACUAUAAACUAGAUUAAAGCUUUCCUUUCUUGUUAUCCUACAUGACAAUCAAGGUAAUUAGGUGGCAACAAUAACAUCGAUUUGGGAAUAAAAUUUGAAAGUGAAUCACAUUGGGAAUAUUUUUUAGAAAGAGUGUUAUUUUGGCAAAAAACUCCCUUAAAUCCCAUCUCUUCCCUAUUGAAAAAAAUAAAAAGAAAAAAAAAUGAUCGCCUGACGCACCAAUAAAUAAAGUGGAAAAAAGGAGGGAAGAGGGUAAGUUGCCAUAACAAUUUCACUUGCCAAGUUUGACGGAAGACUCUGAAAGGCUUUCUUUAGAGUGGCAUAAACCUAACCACAUUUAGUUUUAAUCAUUGCUUAGUUUUAAUCUUCAAACGCAAAAGUUCAGAUGCUUCGACAAGGUCUAAGCCUAUGUUACGAACAUCCCCAGUCCAUGUGCAGAUUAUAGAGUACUUAAUGAAUGAGAAAUGCUUGAAGAUCAAUGCAGUAAACUCCUUCAGGCUAAACAGGGUUGGAUGUCCCUAUCAUGUGUUCCUCCAAUUUCAUCGAACUAAAAAUCGCAGAGACGAUUCGUUAUGAUGGACGGCAGAGGUCUCUGAAUCAAACGCAACCUCAACCGUCUGCUGCUGGCUUGACAGCAUCAAGACAACCACAAACUGAUAAAAAAAAAAUGUACAGAUAAUCGAGGAACAGAGAAUGAUCAUAUGCCCCCAGGAAGCAAUGGCUAAUUGUAAUGGCAUCCCUGAUUGCAACAGCAACAUUUGAGGUCGCACUUCACCCUCCUGGUGGACUCAAAGAGUAACAAUAAUACAACUUCUCUUGCAGAUAUUGCAACUCAUAGGCCAGGACAUGCAAUCUUUUAUGACCUGAAACGCUACGAAUCUAAUUGUUUCCUGUUUUGUAACACACACGUCUUUGUGAUUUCUGAUAGCAUCAUAGUUGCUCUGAUAAGCCCAAGAACGAUCAAAUUCGAGUUUAGCAGAUUUUUCAACUAUAUGCUUUCUUUGCUGUUCUGGUUUGCUCUCAACACUUGGUUCGGCUUUUCACCCUUGAUUGCUGCAGCAUGGAAGAUGUUGAGGAAGUUGAAAACUACACAGCUUCUUGAGUGAGUUUUUUGUCAGAUACUAUCCACGAAAGAAGUGCUACAUGUACUAACUGUGGAAAUCAAGUAAAAGUCAUUAUUCUGUUUCUGCAUAAGCUAUUAGUAUUGAUUACCAGAAGGGUGGCAGACUAGUGGUUUGUGCAAACUUUUCUUUGUCAUUUUUUGAACUUUCAAUUUUAUUCUUAUAGAAGCUAAUUUUUAACUUAAUUGCCUAAUCGUAUUUUGCCAACAUAACUACUCAUAACCACCCUACACAUUGUAACUACCAAAUUAGUAUAACAUUAUAAUUUUAAUAAACUUAUUUAAAUUGUAUUUAUGUAAAAAAAUAAAAAUUCAUAUAAUAUUAAUUCAUUUAAAUUAUUUUUAAAUUGCACAUACUUUGGCUGUGCCCUUAACAUUAGUUGUUAUUAUUAUUUUAAUGAUGGCAACAUUCUUAAUCUUAAAGGUGGUUGGUUCUUAGACCAAAUAUAAUCAAGCAAAUUGAACAUAAUUUCUCUUAAUUAUAAUUGAAUAUCUCAAGGUGAUGGAAUUUUUAUUCCUAUGUAAAAAGUUCAAGCAUAUUGUGUUUAAGAAACAAUAGCCUAAUUCAAGGUUAUUAUUUCUCUUUAAUCUGUACAAUCAAAAGAAAUAUAAGCUUUUCUACACAAUCAAAAGUAGUUGAACAAUCGAACAUAAUCAAAUUACAAAGAGUGCAUUAAUUAGGAGAAAUGUAAUUUUGAGAAAAUUCUACACAAUUUAUUUCUUACAUGAUAGGACUGGCAAUAGGGUUGGAUUGACGCAAUCUUGGACCAGGGGUUUGGCUACCAAUGUUUAUAGGCUGGCAAGGUGAGAACUCAAAAUAUAGACCCAGUUAAAAUGGGUUGAGCUUCGAUAAUGCUCUGAGUUCAACCAUACAUAAGCUUGGCCCAUAUAAUUAUUUAUUUAAUGUAAAAAUUAUAUAUAAUAUUUAUUAAAUAAAAUUGAUAUAAAUAAUUAAUCAUUAUUUAAAGAGUUAUGAAUUUGUAGGCAAAAUUUUUAAUAAGUUACAAAAGUUAUCGCAUUCCUUUGUAUGUUAUUAUUUUAGUGCCAACAUUCAUUGUAUCAAGACGGUUUUGUAUGUUGUUAUUUUAAAGUUAACAUUCAUUAUAUCAGAGCGUUUCUUUAUGUUAUUAUCUUAGUAUACACUAUCAUCGUUGAAUUCAUAACAUGUGUACAAAAAUUAAUUUUCAAAUUCAAAUUUUGCAUAGUUAUCAAUCAUCCAACGCUAAUAGUGAUUAAUUCUUAUUGUACGAGUAAAUCUUUCCUACACUGACGGUGUAUACACUAUCAUCGUUGGAUUCAUGACAUGUGCGCAAAAGUUGAAUUUCAAAUUCAAAUUUUACAUAGUUGUCAAUCAUCCAACGCUGAUAGUAUAUACACUGUCUUUUAUUUGUAUUAGAAUCUACAUUAUAUGAUAGAUUUCUGCUAUUUUCAUCUACACUUCAACUUCUGAUUCACCUUGUUAGACAAGGGAACCUUUAUUGGGGCAUUUUAAUAAAAGAUCAAAUGGUAUUGACCAAAUUUUGAAUCAGUGAGUAGCUUCUAAAGAAUUUAUUUUGGGAAUUAUGGGAGUUAUAAUUCAUUUUAAAAGGGUUAUAUAUCUUACGUCUUAAAUGAGAGAGUUAUGAUAUUUAGAUUCCUAACUUCACUAACAAAUUUUAUACUAGUUAUAUAAGUUACCAUUUGCAAAAUUCGUCAUACAUUAUAUUUAGACAUAUGAUUUAUAUUUAAUAUUAAGUGUGUAUGUAUAGUAGGUCUGUCAAUUGGACAAGUUUUAAAAUUUUCACGCUUAAUCACAGUUAAAAAUAUAAAAAUUGAGUUCAUUCAAAUUUCAAUCAUCCAAGCUAGGGGUGCAAACGAGCCGAAUCGAGUCGAGUUUUGAGCUUAUCGAGUCGAGUCAGGCAUAUUUAUAUGAGAGCUCGAGUUCGAGCUCGAGCUCGUCGAGCUCGAAAAAUAGAGCUCGAGCUCGGCUCGACGUAAGAAAAGGAAAACUCGAGAUCGACUCGUUUAUGACUCGUGAGCUUAGCUCGAAAUCUGGCUCGCGAAUAGCUCGAGUUUCGCUCGAUUUUCUAGCUCGCAUGAAGCUCGAAAGCAGCUCGAAUUCUAGCUCGUUUGGAGCUCGAGUUCGAACUCGAAAAUAGCUCGAAAAUUUCUGAAACUUUAAGCAAGAAUACAGCAUUUUUCCCCCAUUUUUUGACAAAAUUUGCGCAUGAAAUAACUACAAUUUUUCACAUAUUCUUGAUUUUGCGGCCUACAAAUUAUGCACUAAUACAAUCAUAAAUGUCCAAAUGUCCACUAAUACAAAUUAUCCAAAAAUUAUCCACUAAUACAAAUUAUCCAAAUGUCCACAAAAAUCCAUUAAUACAAAUUAUGAUAACUUCACUAAUGCCAGCAAUGGAUCUACAAACCAACCUGCAGGCAACAUGCAAGAGCUCCUUCAAUCCAUCAAGAACUUCAAAAGAUAGAAAUAUACUCAUUAAAAUGAAAUUAUAUGAGGAAAUACAGGUCUUUUAGUCCAAUUUUUCAGCCAAAGCUCAAAAUAUUACAAGCUAUCACAAAUUUACAACACAAAAUAUUUGUUAUAGACAGCUUGAUACAUCCAAUUGAAAAGAUAUAUAGGCACGAAAGUCCAGCCCCAAUUUCGUUAAGCUGUUUUAGUCUCCCUCUACCCAUUUUACAGAGAAAGCAAAAAAAAACUUGGGCAAAAAUUAAUUAUCUUUGCAGAAGAACCUGCCCGGAAAAAGAAAAUCAGAUAACUUCAAACAACUCAACAAAUUUCACGACUUUCUAUUGAAACUGUAAAUACUGAGAAAAAAUUCCACUAAUAAGUAAUUAAACAGAUGUCUCCUUAAAUGCCACUAUCCCAUAGUUACUACAAGAUCUGGAGCAAUAUCAAGCCUCUUAGCACUGUCUCCAUUUCAUUUUAAGCAUUUUUAUUAUCAGAAUCCAAAAAAUUAUAAAAUUGUAAAAUCUUAAAACUUUGGGGGAAUUGUAAAAUCUUAAAACUUUGGGGGAUAAAUAAAUAAAAAAAAUAAUAAUAAAGUAAAAUGAAGGACCAAAAUCAUGAUCCUAGGAAUGGGGUCGUCUUUUCUCCUCUGCGGACAGAACAUCAAAAAGCUCAAGUCUGAUCAUUUCCAAUCAAAAUGAAAAUCACAAGAUCCUUCCCAUGCCAUUUCAAUCCAAAUUCAUACGAUGGGAGGCAUAAAGCAACAACAAAAAAAUGCAAGACUGCAAUACAUCAAAAUUUCUCAGGUGCGAGGAAAUGAACCUGCGGACUUAGCCGGUUCUUUAACAUGAAAGAAAAAAUGCAAACGAAUCUUCUUUCAAUAAGAAUUUUCAGCCAGGCAUUUCGUCGAACAGGUUAGGGGCAUCACAAAUUUCACUAAUCUUCUACUCAAUUAAAUCUAUAUUCAGCCCCCACAAUUUACAGCAAAACCAAAAGAAUACAGUCUAAUCAACACACAGAAAAGGCCACGAACAAUCGACGUAAAAUUUGAAACAACAUGCUAACGGCGGACAUGGCACGUUCAUCAGCAAACAUGCUCUGAAAUCUUUCAAAGCUUAUGUUCGAAUGAAAACUGAAAUAUAAUGGAGAAGAUUAACUUACAGUGGUCUCUCGCGGUGAAGUUGCUGAAGUGGAGAAGAUUAACUUUUUCAGAUGAACCUUCCUUGCUCUGUUUUUUCGCAGCUUUGCUCCUCUGCCUUUCCUUGGAACUUGCCUUUCUUCCCAACCUGCCCUUAGCACUACAAGAUCUUGGAGGUUGCUGAAGUGGAGAUGGCGGAAGCGGUGGAGAUGCAGCUAGCAGUAGCACCGAUGACUGUGGCUGAAGUGGGAGGAAGUGAAGAAACUCGAGAUGCAGCUAGCGGUAGCAGCAAUGGCAGUGACGGAAGUGGAAAUUGGGAGUUUGGGACAGUCGGUGGCGGAGGAAGAAGAUCAAUCGAAGGAGUCAGCAGAGCAUAAAAGUUAACCUAAGUGAAGGAAGGAGGAAAGUUUACCAACAGUGGCUGAACAUCGAUUAUAGCUUAGUGCGCAGAGAACAUGUAAAUUUUAAUUGAAGCAAGGGUAUUUUUGUAAUUUCACACUUACUCGAGCCCAACGAGCGGCUCGUCGAGCUAUCGAGCCUAAGAAACGAAGGCUCGAGCUCACCUCGUUUAUCUUAACGAACUGCUCGAGCUCGGCUCGAGCUCGGUCAACACGAGCUCGAGCCGAGCUUUGACUCGAGCUGCUCGCGAGCAGCUCGCGAGCAGCUCGAGUCGUCACCAGUCCUAAUCCAAGCUCAGCUCUUUUACAUCAUUAGGCUUUAGGCAUCAAUAUGGGCUUGUCCAAAUUGAACAACUUCCUAUUUUAAAAUUAUAUUUUCUAAAAAUACAAGAUAUUAAUUAAAUAAGUUUAAAGUUUAAGAUUUUAAUAGCAAGAUUAAUCAUAUUCAUUAUUAUACAUUUCAAAAUAAUUGUCCGUUUGGAUCCCUUGUUUUUGGGGUUAUUUUUGAAAAACUGUUUUUCACAUUCCAAAUGCUACAGUAAAUGUGUAUUUCCAAAACAACUCCGAAAACACCAUAUCCAAACAUUAUAUCAAAAACAACUACAUAUGUAUAUUCAAUUUGUAUAUUUUAAUUAUGUAUAUUAUAUAUAUUAUAUUAAUAUAAAUUGAAAUAUACAGAUUGAAAAUUAUAUAUAUAUUAUAUAUUAUAUAAAUAUUUAUAUACAUUAAUAUUAUACAUAAUAUUGUAUAUUAUAAAUAAUAUAAUAUAAUAAACAUAAUAUGUAAUAUUGUAUACAUAAAUGUGUAAAUAUUUAUGCAUAAUAUAUUAUGUACAUUAUAUUAUAAUAUAUACAUUAUAAAUGUAUAAUAUUAUUAUGUACAUUAUUGUGUAUAAUAAUGUAUAAUAAUUUUAUGUAUAAUAUUUAAUAUGCAUAAUAUGUAAUAAUGUAAUAAUGUAUAUUAUGUAUAAUAUAUUAUAUAUAUACAAUAUUAUGUAUAUUAUACAAAUUGAAAAUUAUAUAUUAUAUAUUUAUAUACUAUAUAUUACAUGAAUAUUUAUAUAAUGAAAUAUACAAUAAAUAUUACAAAUUGAAAUAUUAUACAAACACCAAAUUUAUAAUAUUAUAAUAUUUAUAAUUAAUAUUAAUGUAUAUUAUAUAUAUUAAAUAUUUAUUUAUUUAUUUAUAAAUAUUUUAUUUUUUUUAAAAAAUAUUUUUAUAUAUUUAUAAUAUAUUUAUAUGAAUAUUAUACAUUAUAUAAAUUAUAUAAAAUAUAAAAUAUAAUAUAUAAUAUAUAUUAUACAUUUAUAUAAAUGUACAUUUAUACAUAAUAUAUAUAUUAAUGUAUAUUUAUAAUAUACAUUUAUAUUAUGUAUAUAUAUAAUAUAAUACAUUUAUACAUUUAUAUUAAUAUACAUAAUAUUAAUUUUACAUUUAUACAUUUGUACAUUUAUAUUAAUUAUAUUAAUAAAUUUAUACAUAAUAUUAAUAUAUAUUAAUAAAAUUAUAAUUUAUAUAAUAUUCAUUUGUAAUUUAUACAUUUAUAAUAAUAUGCACUUAUACAUUUAUAAAUAUAUUUAUAUUAUGUAUUAUAUAUAAUAUAAUACAUUUAUAUAUUUAUAUAUAAAUACAUAAAUAUAUUUAUUUAUAAAUAUUUAUAAAUGUACUAUAAAUGCAUAAAUGUAUAUUUAUAUAAAAAUAUAAAAAUUAUAAAUUAUAAUUUAUACAUUUACAUAAUAUUCAUUUAUAAUUUAUACAUUUACAAUAAUAUACACUUAUACAUUUAUAAAUAUAUUUAUAUUAUGUAUUAUAUAUAAUAUAAUACAUUUAUAAUACAUUUAUAUAUUUAUAUAAAUAUAUUUAUUUAUAAAUAUUUAUAAAGGUAUUAUAAAUGCAUAAAUGUAUAUUUAUAUAAAAAUAUAAAAUAUAUAAUUUAUACAUUUAUAAUAAUAUACACUUAUACAUUUAUAAAUAUAUUUAUAUUAUGUAUUAUAUAUAAUAUAAUACAUUUAUAUAUUUUUUUAGUGAAUUUAUAAAUACAUUUAUUUAUAAAUAUUUAUAAAUGUAUUAUAAAUGCAUAAAUGUUUAUAAAAAUUAUAAAUUAUAAAAAUACCCAAAAAUAUGUUUUAAAAAUAUCUCUAAAAAUAAUCCAAAAAACAUCUACAGUAAAAGUUUUUUAUAUAGUUUUUGAAAAACAACCCCAAAAACAACUAAUCCAAACGGACUUGUAUUUCAAAAAUGAAAUGCUACCGUGCUGUUUUUGAAAAACAACUCCAAAAACAGCUAAUCCAAACGGAGUUAAAGUAGAACAUUUAUUUGUGACGUGUGGUUGGUAGGUUUUAUUAACUACUGCUUGUGUUUGUUUGGACAGCAGAUUACUUGGCCAAAUAUAUUUGCUUACAUCAUCAUUACAAUUUUCAAUACAUUUUUUUAUCUUUCCAAUUACCUUUUUAUCUCACAUACAUCACAUCACAAAAAGUGAUACAGUAAAAAUAUCUCAAAUAAUUUACAAUCCAAAUGUAUGUGAAAUAAAAAGGUAAUUGGGAAGAUAAAAAGAUGUGUUGGAAAUUGUAAUGAUGAUAUAAGCAAAUAAAUUUUGACAAAUAAUCCUCUAUCCAAACAAACCCAUCUGAUUUCCAUGAUAAUCCAAAAUAAUCCUCUUUUGCUCAUGUCUGAUGUCCAUGACACAAGUUUGGAUUAGGUACACAUCUAUCAUUAAUAAAAAAUUGAUUCAUAUGAUGGAUUAAUUGAAAAAAUUAUAUUAAGCAAUUCAUCCUGGUAAAUAUUGGCAGUGUUAAUUUUAUUUGAUUGAGGUUUAUAUCCUUUACAAGAAUCAUUUGGUUGUUAUAACUGGCUUGUUUUAAUUGAGAAUCAUUUGAAUUUGUUUUGAUCAUUCAUAAUUGCCUUUUUGUGAUUUGACAGAUAUGAAUUAGCUGGAGAGUAGGUAGAGGAUACAUCAAUAUCUUUUUUUUUUUUUUUUUCCUUUCUAGCGAUAUAUUUUCCAAACUUUUCCAAAUGAGUCUACUUACCAAAAAUGACUUAAAAAAAAUCACACACGACAUUCCUGACAUGAGUCCACUUAAAUUGCUUUUGUAAGCAAUUUCACUAAUACCCCCUCAUAUUUGAUAAAUUUAAAAUAGAUAUAUAUUGGGCAUAGUAAAUUAACUAUCUAAUGCAAAAACUUGAGGGCUGCCAUGGAAUCGAAUUUUUUUCUCUCUCUUAAUACCAAUUUUAUAUUGUUUUUCUAUUUGAAUUGGAUUGAUUUGUUACAAACUAAUUAAUUUUAGGGGAGGUUUCUGAUAUUUUGAAAACCUCACAGGAGGGCUUAAAUGGUAUUGUCCUUUACUACAGGACUUUUCUUUCCAAAUACUUCCCACAUUUGGACCGAAACUGUAGCUUCCCUUAUUUGUCAAGAAAGAGCCGCUGGAUUCCCCUCUGGAAAAAGAAAUAAGUCAAGAGAACAAAAUCGACAUCAGUCAUAUGAGAUUUAGCAAACCAACGGCGAUCAAAAUUUGCACCGUUUGACGUCCGACAAGAACAAAAAGCCAGCACUAUCGUCGGUCACGAUUAGGACACGCAUGCGUCAGUAAGGCGGUAAUAUGGCACACUGAAAAAGUCAAAAUUUAUUACUCCUACUCUGCAACUCAACCAUCUUCAAUCCUUUUUUUCAAGAACAAAAGAACCCGUCCCAGUUCGUCGCUGUACUUUCCUUUCCAAUCACAGCAAUCCCAGAAAGAAAACAACCAGAAACAUGGCAGAAAACAAUGGAGGAAUUGAGGUGAUUCAUUCAUGGUCUGCUCCCAGGUCUCUCAGCACCAGCCUUAUGUACUCUUUUGCCCAGGUAUUGAAUCCUUGUCAACCGCUUUUAUGAAAUAGUGGCAUUGAUGAAUGUUUCUGUCUGUCUCUCUCUCUUCUUCUUUUAUUCUAAAUAUAUUCAUUUUCAGACGCGGAUUAUGUCUUGUUUUCGCUUUAUUCCGAGUCCCUUUUCAAAUUUGUUUCCAUUCUUUCCAUCUACUCUUUUUUUUUCCUUCUUCUGUGGUGCUUUUGAUUGUUUUGGUAAUAGAUAUGCAGUUCACAUUUUAUGUAGAGUGUGGAAUGAAUACUCAACUGCGUUAUAAGAAUGUCAAUUGUUGGUGAUUUUGGCCUAAUGGUGGUUGUCUCCAGUCUCACUCUCUUGGAUUUCUUGAUUUCAUUAGUCAAUAUUUGAAUUGUUUAUUUCACGUGUUUGCAUUGAUUCUAGUUUGUGCUAACUGAAAGUAUGUAUGUUGCUUCCCAACUGUUUAAUCACCAGGUUAGCUACUCAGUUUAAUUACAGUGACCUCCCCUGUUGUUUGGCCCGUAUGGCUAGUUUCCACAACCUCCAAACUGAAAUUCUAUAGCUAAUAUUUUCAUAGCAUGGAGUAGGGUACUUUUGCAAUCCCACAUCCACUUGUUGCUGGCAUACAGGGAGAGAUAGAUGGUAGAGAGCUGCCUGUGCCAAAAGCAUUUUUUAAACUUGAUAUGACCUUGAGAUAACCUCACUCUAAUUUUAACAACCAGAAAGUAGAUUUUUGUAGUUAUCACAAAACGUCAGUCUGUUCAUAGCAGGGUAUAUUGUGCAACCAAAACUGCCAAAAAGUGAUAUGAAGAAGUCUCGUCCAAAUAUAACUUAUUUGAUUAGCUCAUCUCUGCAAAACUUGCUCGUAUAGUCUCUUGGUUGAACUUUUUGGAAUUAAAGUGUCCAGGUAUGGCCCACUUCUUUUAGGAGGCAUUAGAACUAAUGUACUAAACAGGUGGUCUUCCAGACUACAAUUGUUGUAUGCUACAUUAGAGAAAGAUUAACCAUGCUUGUAAUUGAUAAAAAUUGUACCUCAUGGCUGCAUAUGCUUAACAAACUAUCUGGAAUUCAGGUUUCACAACCUCAUUAACACGAAGUUCAGUUGCUAAGUAAACUUCAUGGUUAGAGUGUCAUGACAAGUACUUUGUUAGCAAACAGCAGAGAUAAGAAACUGACAAUACAGUACAAAUGCCUUUAUUUACAAUUCAAUUUAGUAGCUUAGUUGCGUGCAGAUCAACUAAUCACAGGAUUGUGUAGCUUCAUUGACCAAUUAGUCAAAAGAUUUCGUAGUCCACUCUCACAGUUCUGUGUAGAUAAUUUGAUUGUUAUGUGAGGGAGAGAAGUGUACUAUUGAUAGUUGAUCAUUGUUUCUUAAUGGCUUGUGUAAACUUUUGAUUUGAUUUGCGCAGAGAGAUGAUACAGAGGUGCUUGAUGAACCACUAUAUGCGAAUUUCCUGCGCGUAACGGGGUUAGAAAGGCCAUACCAACAAGAACUUCUUUCCAAGUUGGUACGCCCAUAUGGAGCUCUAGCAUGUGCAGUUUGAAUUGCAGAAUCCAUUUCUUUAAUUGUGUUUCUUCUCAAAUUCAGCAGUACAAAUUCAUAGUUUAUUCCCCUAGUUUGAAUUUUGCUUCUUUACUAGUCUUAUUCUAGCUUUGCCUUGUGAUGCUGACAUGUGCUGGAUUGUGCUUAUUACUGAACUAUGGGAUAAUUAAUUUUAUGCUUCUAGCAAAGUUAUGUGUUCAUACAAUGUUUUGAGGUGCUUAGCCAGCUAGCUUUCUAGGUGGUAUUUAAAAAGUACAAACUUCAGCAUUGAGUAUAUCUUGAGGAAGUUUGUGUAGUACCAAUGACCUUGUUGCUUCUGCAGAAAAGUUCUUUGAUGAGCUGAAGAUCAGGUAUAUCAGGCUUGGGAGAGAAUUUUGAUCUGUGAAGCUAUAGGAGACAUAUAUUAGGUUAUGGUGUUGAUCUUAAGUGAUGGUGGUCACCAGGAAUUUUGUUAAAGCAUUGAGGCCCAAGUAAUUCCUCUACUAGGAGGCUAAGAUUUUUGCUUCUUUGUGGGUGGAGUUGAAGAGUUUAAGGUAGAGCAGACGUGCACUUGUUAGAUUGUUGUAUUGGUAAGGUUUGAUUAAAUGAAAGUUUAGGCCUAUUCACGCCAUGUCAUGUCAAAUAAAGCAGAGAAAAUGGAAAUUGUAGGAAGAUCUUUUUAUGAAUAAAUUACUGACAGAAGUCUUCUUGGACCACCUAUACGGAUACAGUCACCUAGGAUUUGGGGACUAAAACCUGCUGAAGUCACAUUAUUACAUGCCAACUGCAUAAUUCAAAUUAUUUGUUACCCUUGACCUAAAUGCUUAAUCCAAGUAACUCAUUGACCUAGGAUAUUGUAUACUAAUCACAUCCUUUACAAACAUUUGAUGUGGGACUUCGGGGGUCUCACAUUCAUUUUCUCAAGUUGAACUAUAACGAAUUACAUAGACUGCAUUCUGAAAAUUGUAGAUAACUAGAUUUGCAGCUCUAAAUCAGUUGAUAAUUUUUUUUUUUCUAAAUCAGUUGAUAAUUUGAUGAAGCUUUCCACUCGUAAAAGUUGCCAAUUAGUAGCACAUACAAGAGCAGGUUGGAAGUUUAUUGCAUAAAAGUUGUGCUUUUUUUCAGCUUAGACAACUGUAUUUUUCAAAGACUUACUUUCUUACUUUUAUUAUUUUUUUUAUCAGGUUCUUUCCAUUAACCUUGAAUUCCAUAGGAUGGCAUAUGUUCUAUUUUGUUAUUGAGCUUCUUAUAAGCUUCAGUCAUUGUAAUCUAGUUGCUAUUGUGAAAUGAACAGGAAUCUGAUGGAAAUAAGGUGGUCAGGGAGAUUAUUUUUGGUCCUGGAGGAAAGAAGUAUCGGUUUUGUAAGGUAGUCUUCUGAUACUCCAUAUUGCAGACUCUUUGCUUGCCUCUCUGUUCCUGCAAAUCUGUCCCAUAUUUUGGUCUCUUUGCCUUCAAUUUUUCAUUAACAAAGAUUUUCUCAUCAUGUGACUGCAUCAUGUUUUAGGUUAAUGUAGUUAUCAGAUGCGAAAAUAUACUCAGUGAAGUUUCCUGUUUUGUUGUUGUUAUGUUUUGGCAGUGUUGAAAUAGGUGAUUGUUGUUCUCAGUGUUUUUCUUUUUCCUUAUUUUCUUUUAAAAAACUAGUACCUAGUAGAGUAUGUGAAGUACAAAACCUUUCAAAGCAGAUGAAGAGUUGGAAAGACAAAUUAGGCUUAGUAAUAUAUGACCAGCUUCUGAUUCCUGUGAGGAAGAAUAUUGGGCUGAGGAUUGAUGUACACAGAUUUUGAUACAAUUUGCACUUCUUCUGGCUUUGAAGUUUGUUGAAAUUCAAUAUAUGUUUGAGUUUUGUGUAUCAUCAAUAUCAAGAAUCAUUUGUUUAAUGUUGAAGGAUAAGAUUUUUUUUGAUGAUUUUUCAUGAAAUUGUAGGAACUAAUUUGUGUUUUUUCUUCAUCUAAUUUAUAGCAUUUGGCUAAACAACUUCUACCUGGUUUGAGUGAAGAUUUGAUGAAGAAAGGAAAGCACUUCAUACUUAUCCGGAAUCCUCUUGAAAUUUUGGUGAGUAUGUACUGUAUUACCUUUAAGUUUCAUCUAUUAGACUUGAGAUUUACUUUGCAAAUUGCAUUUUAAUUAAACACUAAAAUACUCUUUCCUUAUCUAACUGCACUUUUGUUCAGUUAUAGGUUAUUAACAGGUUUAUUUUAGUAGUUACUUCAAGGCAAAAGCCUGAGAAUAUGCUUCAGAUAUUAUGAUUAAGUGUAAAAGUUUGUAUGGCAACAGCUUUUUUUUUUGUCUGUUCUUGUUUCUGAGUAGAUCUUUGUCUAUUAUUGUCAUUUUUCUGAAUUGAUUUCCUAUAUUGGUUGUCAGCCAUCCUUUGAUAAGGUUGUGCCCCCAUCCUUUUCUGAACUGGGAUUGGCAGGAUUGGUCUCCAUAUACAGUCAGCUAUGCGAAUUGGGAAAGCCUCCAGCAAUCAUUGAUGCGGCAGAACUGCAAGCGGAUCCUGAGGUCCUGAAGAAUUUUCCCCUUCUGUAUGGUUUUCCUUGAGGCAUUGUCUUUCCACUUCUCCUUCAUAUGGGAGUUUGACUGCUUUUUUGUGCCUUCUGGUCAUUUCCCCCAAAGUAAAGUUUUGAAUUGUGAUUUUAUCCAGGAUGUCAGGUUAUUACCAACUAAGUGGCCCAUGGUCUAAAUAAUAUAGGAUGGUCAUGGCACUAAAUUCUUUAUGCUCCUAUCUUGAUUUCAUUUUACACAAAGAAGUACAAAGAUAGUUGUGUUGGCCUAGAAAAGACUAAAACAGGAGUGAGAGACGACACAUAAAUCAAGAAAACAAACAGAUACUCUAUACUCUUCUUCUUUAGCUUUUAAUGUGGAGUCUAGAGUACUAGUUUCUGCCAAAACAGUUCCAUCUAUUGUGGAACUCUUGCCUAAAUGGGCUUCAUCAUGUUGGAAGUUAGUCUAGGGCUUCUAGCUUACUCCUUAGAACCACGGGGUUCUAUGUUAGGGGGACAGAGGUUGACUAUAGUUGCAUUCUUUCUCCUUCCCCCUCCUAUGCUGCUCUGCUCACUUGCUGCCUUGCCCUUCAUUUUCUUUAUAAUUUGGUUACAAUAAAUAGAGUUUUAUCUUGAUAGAAGGUCUUAUACUACUUGAAAGUUAAAAAUGGCCGAACCAUUUCACAUCAUUUUUGGGAAUUGUAAGCUAACAUGUAAACCUUUUAAAAGCGUGAUUGUUAGAUGAUAGAAGAUUGCUUUUAUUUGACUAGUUUUGAAAAUCUUCGUCCAUGUAUUUGUAGUUAUUAGGGUGCACUGAAUAUCACUUGUACAUUAUUACCUGAUAUUGAACAGCUGAAUCCUUCUACUCCUUUAAGUAAACAAUUUUGUUGCCUAUUGUCCUUCUGCAGUUUGCUUUACGUGGACUUUGUGAAGAUCUUGGCAUUCCUUUUCAAGAUUCAAUGCUUAAGUAAGCCAAAGCAAUGCUCAAACAACCUUCGCUCUUAAGCUUUGCUUCUAAAUUUUUAGUAAACGUCAUUGUAAAUUAUUAUGUUAAGUUGGUAUUUCAUCCUUCAGUUUUGAAACAAACAGCUUGAUUUGUAUUAGGUGAUGUGGACAAAAUGAAUGAUACAUGUUCUUGGAUAAAAAGAAAUUGAAUCGCACAUGUUCUUGGUCCUCUGAGUUGGGUCAAUCCAUUUUGUUUUCUUUGUAGACAUAUACCACAAAUAUCUGGAAGUACAUGCCUUUUGGAAAUUACUGCAUAUAAAAUUGGCAUUGAUCAAGCAGCAGAAACUGUUCACUACGUGACAUUAUUAUCUGGGAUUCACAAAUAUUUGAUUUUAUCAUAAAAUGUCACUGAGAAUCCACAGAAGAUACUAAUAUUAUGGCAUUGUAGAACUAUAUUAUCACGUAAAUUCUGAUACCAAAAGGUUAUUCAGUCAAGAAUAUAAUUCCUUAAUGCAUUUGACAGCUAUGACCUUAUUUAGUAGUCUUCUUGGUAAACUUUUUAGAUUUGCAAAACAAGCAUGUAUACUCAGGAAUUCAUUUUGGGAUAAAUAGAUCCACAUGCAUGCACAUACAAACAGGCAUAUAUACAGAUUCCUAUCUUGCAAAAAGUCUGAUAAUAUAUUACUCUAUCUAAUGCAGAAUAUAGGCUUUAUUUUUGCCCCUGCUUCCACGUUGUUCUUUGUUUUUUGAUUGAAUGCCAUGUCUUAUGGUAGUUGCGGAAGAUAAUAUUAAUAUUGACUGUUGACCAAUUUAAACUUUGUAUUUGUAGAUGGGAAGCUGGACCAAAAUCAUUUGAUGGUUUGUGGGCCCCAUGGUGGUACAAAAGUGUACGUGAAUCAACAUGUUUCACACCCAAUACAAAGUAUCCUUCGGUAGGUAGUAUUGCAGUCAACUACAUUUUGAGUGGCUUCCAAUAUUAUAUAUUGACUUAUAGGGACAACUCAAGUGUUGUUCCUCAAAUGUGUUCAUGCACUUUAAGUUGGAAGCUUACAGAAUCUUAGACUUAUGAUGCCAUAGUAUGUUCUGUGGAAUCCAACUUGUUUGCAUGUGUCAACAUUUUAGCUUGACAAAUCUUUCUACAGACCUUUUUAAUCCAAACAUCUUUACUCUCUUUUCCACUUUCUGUACUGGCCUUUCGGAUUACCCCACUCUUAAUUAAUUCUUCUGUUUCUCUUUCAUAGCAUUAUGACAGAUAUACACAAGUCACUAGCAUCAUCUUGUUCUCAUUUUAGUGUUAGAUAUAUGAACACUUAUGCUUCAAUAGUUGUUUAGAAAGUGAGUUGGAGUUUCUUAAACUUGAGAUUCCUUGAGUUGAUCUGUUUAUAGAAUAACCAGUGCUUCAAACAGCUUAGAAUUCUGUUGUUCGUAUGAUUUAGGAUGCUAGAUUAUAAGCAUGAUUUUGAAAUUAGAAGUGCUAUUCUUAGCAUGAGAUAUAGAAUGGGCAACACAGAAUCAUCAGAUGACCAUUUAAUUUUAUUAGCUCAAUAUGCACGUGCAUUGGAGAAUAAUAGCAGAUAAUCUGUACAAUGCGUUAAAAAUCUCUGAAAACCAUUUCUAGUUUCCCUUUGAUUCUAUAUUUCUUGUGUUUUUUCAGCCCCUUCCACAGCCCCUGUAUGACCUGCUGGAGCAGAGUUUGCCUUUCUACAACAUGCUUAGGCACCGAGUAAAACGGAGGUCUUCUUUGCCUCAUCCAAGUCUUCCUGUUCCUGCUAAUGAGAAGCUGCUUGCUUGGGUUGGAGAUGAAAUUGUGCCUCGUGAGAGUGCAAGGGUACUUCUUUACGGAACUUGGGGGGAAAACACUUUAUGAAAUUACAAUGCAAAAUAAACCCUAUUUAGUGAUUAAUGUAUCUUCAAGGUUAAUGAAUCUGACCCUUACUACUGGAAUUGUAAAGAUUUCAGUCUUUGACUCGGUUGUACAAGGUGGCGAUGCAGUUUGGGAGGGGCUGCGGGUGUAUAAAGGAAAGAUAUUUAAGCUUGAGGAGCACUUGGACAGGUUAGUUAAAUGAAGUUAACAGAAUUUUUGGAAUACUUGGUUUUCAUACUACCUGCAUUUCUGAAUUACUGUAAUAUACUUUGCACAGAGACAGAAGGGUUCAAAUUACAAACACUAAGGAUUUGACAAAAUUGUCAAAAAUGGUUGACUAUGUUUGUGGAUGAUUAAUUGUAUAUAUUUGAUUUCUAAGCUCUUUAUUAAAAUUUAAUAUAUAAACAUUUAGCGCCUUUGCUAGAUCAAAAUAUCUUUCUUCUAGCUGAUGAUUCCUUGAGUAUACCAGCUUCGAUAAUGGACAAGCAGCAAAAAUUAACUAAAUUUGUAACUGCUAAAUGAAGAAACUGAUGCAAUUUUUUCUUGAUCCUUGUAUCACUCUUUUGAAUCCUUCUCCUUUCACCCAUCGCAGAAUUGAGUGUUUUUGAAUUGAGUGGCUAAUGCUUCUCAAAUCUGGUGAUGUCUAAAUGAGCUGUUGGUUGGUAUCCUUCGUACUUGUUAUACUUUUUACUGAAUGUAAUGUCUUUUCUGCUGAAAUAAUAUUCUUGUAAUUAUUUAAAUUGGUAGCAUACAGGCAAUGUAAUCCUCAAUCUUAUGUCUUGUAAAGUAGUUCACAUUCUUUGCACAAGAGCAAAUUUUGUUUUUAUGAUUGCUACUAGAAAACUGACCUUUUAUCAUUUCUUAUUUAAAUUGGUAGCAUAAAGCCAACCUAGCAGAAUCCACAAUCAUACUUCCUGUAAAGUAGUUGACAUUCUUUUUAGAAGUGCAAUUGCUUGUAUGAUUGUUUAAUAGAAGGGUGAGUUUUUGUCAUCUCUUAUUUAAGUUGCCUGGUUCAAAAUUUGUUCUGGAUUUAUGCAGUGUAGUGUUAAAGAUGAAUGCCUUGUAGGAGUAAAAGAUGACCAUUUUAACAGAGUAAAUAAAGAAAUCUAAAUUACUAAGUUCAUGUCUCUUGUCAGAUUGUUUGACUCAGCAAAAGCUUUAGCUUUCAGCAAUGUACCAACUCGUGACGAGGUGAUGACUCAAUAUACUUCUUUCAUUUUCUUAUCUCCUGGCAUUAUGAAGCUAUAAUUGUAAACAACUCUACUGGGAUUUUACCGUAAUAGAACACCUAAAAUACCCUUGAAUGUCUGAUGCUGAAAAAUGUUAAUUCUUGAGAGUGAUUCUGCUACAUUAUGCAGGUUAAGGAAGCUAUAUUUAAAACUCUCAUCUAUAAUGGGAUGUUUGAUAAUGCACACAUCCGACUAACUAUGACUCGUGGCAAGAAGGUUUCUACUUCUCAUAUAUCUUUAUCAUUGUAACUGUGGAGAUUUACUAUAUAGAAGUGUCCGUUUUCUUUUUUGUUGUGAAAAUAUUUUAUUUUACAAAUUUACUAAAACUUUGUGACUAACAUUUUAUUGAUUUUUCACAGGUCACCUCUGGAAUGAGCCCAGCAUUCAAUCUUUAUGGAUGUACUUUGAUUGGUAUGAUGGACUUAAAAUUUUCAUAGAUGUUAUCUGCCAAGGGCAUGGCUCUAAUUAUUGUGUAUCUCACUUUUAUUUUGGUUACUACAUGGUAUUGUUGCUUUAAAAGAAUUGCUGGUGUGGUACUAGGUUGGAAUUCUGUCUGUUUCUUGGUAUCUUGUUCUUUCUGAAGAAUCAUCAUUGAUCUCCUUUAUAUAUCUAUAUGUUCCUUAAGCCAAAUAAAACAUAUUCCAUAAGGAGAUCAUCAAGUUGAGCCUUCUUGCCCAGUUGAAUAUCCAAAAGAUUUCUAUUUAGUUGUUUUUUACCAUUACAUUUGUGCCUCAAAAUUUUCUGUUGUUUUUAAUGUCUUUUGGUCUAACACUUCCAUUUUUUAUAACGUUAUGAAGGAAUGAUAUAAUGAUACAAGUUCUACAAGUUAACUAGUUGCUAGUGCCAUAAUAUAUCCAAGUUACUUCUGACAUGUGAGACUGUAAAAAAAAAAAAAAAAAAAAAAAAACUGUGAGACAGUCAAUGAGGUAUAGCAAGCUUCAUUUGCAAUUCAAACAUUGUCUAGGCUGUGUACUUUUCCCUGAUUCUUGAAGAAGCCUACAACUUUUUCCAUUCAUGGAAGCUUAUUUUUACACCAGAGAGACCUAUGCAACCUAAAAUCUUUUAAAAGAAUGACUGAAUCCACAACAGAUUAUGGGUUGCAUUUCUUGACAAACUGACCAUGGAUUUGGGUAUCGGCAAUGACCUAGGCAAUUUUUGAUAAUUUUUUAAAUUAUUACUUGGUCCUCAAACCCUUCAAACCAGACUAAAAGAUGCAAGAUAUGCAUCUUGAUAAACAGUCUUAGAGAGCUUGUUGAGGCUCCGUGACUAACAAUUUUUCUUAUACUGGCAUCUGACUGAUAGAGUUUCCAUGUGCUGUUGAGGAUAGGUUGCUUCUGAGAGAACUCCACCUCAUAUAUUUGCACCAUCUAUAGCAUUUAGAGGGAACAUGUUAGUUAAUGUAUCAGCUACUUUGUCACUUUUCAUUUGCAAAAAAAAAAAAUGCAACAAUCUGAUUCUUUGCAAGAAAUUUCUCUUUCCAAGUUUGCCUUUCCAAUUAGCUCUGGCAGUUACUCUACUUGAGCAGAAAAUUUUGCCAUAAGAUAUGCUUGAGAACCAAUCCUAAAUUAAGGCAUCUAAUAUAGCAUAUUGGCUAUUUUACUUCACUGUAAUUGUCUCCUUUGGGUUUUGGCAGUGCUUGCUGAGUGGAAACUGCCAAUCUAUGAUAAUACAAGGGGGAUAACUCUGGUGACAGCAGCCACACGUCGUAAUUCACCAAAUGUAAUGUUUUUAAAUGGUUUCUGUUGUUGCCUUCUACUUUAUGCCAUAUUCUUCUCUCAUUUAGAACUGAUCUCAUCAACAAAUUAAAGGGUUUGACAAUUAUGAUUGUUUUCCAUGAGAGGGAUUGGAGUUAUGCAUGGACUAGCAUGUGUAAUUUUAAUCAUCAGAGUAUUCGUGUUGUCCCUAUUUACGUUAUGACAUAUGACAUAUGACAUCUGGCAUUGUAAUUUCUUAUACUGAUCCCAUUAUCCAUGAGCAUUGUAUUUCUGGCUUGCUUGCAACAUCAUGCAUUAUGCUCAGUGACCUAAUGUCAAACACGUGCUUCCUUCAACAUCAUGACUGCACUCUGUAUGGCUCUCCAUUGUCAGAAUAUUCUGUUUGAUACUCAAACUCAUCUGCUGAAUAGAUAUAUGGGAAAGAAAAUCCAUCUGGGGUAUAUUCAAAACAUGUGGCUAUCAUCAGCAAGUUUCACAAAGAAUUCACUCUAUGCCAGUUAAAUUCAGUUCAAUAUAAUCAGCCGAAUAUGGAAGCUUAUUUGUUAAUAAAUUAGGAUUUUUUUUUUCCAUAAGUGCUUGAGACAAGCAAUUACUGAAGCCUGUUUGUCCUGUUUUCUGUUGAUGCUCCUUGUCGUUGGAUGGAACUUGUUUUGAAUUGGGAAAAAAUAUAAAAUUUUUUAAUAUGAAUAAGAAUUUUUCCUUAUCUUAGUUAUAAUAUGCAUUAAGUUGGAAAGUGUAUCCCUGAUAUUUUUAAUAUAUUAUCGCCACCAUGGUUGUCAUUAGCUCACCUGAACUCAAAAACGGCCAUUACUUCCAGCCACAGAUGUAUCAUAUCCAUUGACAAAAGAUUGCACCACCUACAAUACAAUUUUACUGGCAAGAAAAUGUACAAGAAUGAUGGAUGUAGACCACAAUAACAGAGGCAUUCCAUAUCAUAGAUUUGCUGUGGUAAUUAGAUCAUCUGAUGUAAAGCUAGUUCUUCAGAUUUUGUGAUGAUAUUGUUGGUACACUCGUAUUUCUUCCUUAGGAAUAACUUCUACAGAGUCUAGCAGUUGAUUCCCAGGUGACCACAUUAACAUUUGUGUUUCAUUUACUGCAUCAUCUAGUUAUAUACUUGGCUAGCGGUGUUGUCUUUCAUCUUCUAGAAAACUUUAUAGGUGAAAAAUGAUCGAUUGUGCCAUCUUUCCGUCUACAGUUAAUAUUGAUAAACAAUCUUUCCAAAGAUCAUAAUGCAAAAGCUUCCUUUCACUAAAUUUUUAUAUGAGACAAUGAAAUCAAUGUUCACUUUUGCAGAAUCUGGAUUCCAAGAUUCACCAUAACAACCUUCUUAACAACAUUCUUGCCAAGGUAUAAUCUUAUUCCAGGUCUGCAACUUAUUCUUGAAAGAGAUUACAAAAGUACCUAAUCCAAUGUUUUUCCUGUCAACUUCAUAUGACUGGAAUCCUAUUCUUGACUAAGAUGUCACAUCAUGCAACAUGAUGUACAUAUAAUAACAGAGAACUCCUCUUCAGUAAUUACCUUCGUGCCCCUCUCUCUCUCUCAUGCUUUUUCAUUUGUAUCAUAAUUCGAAUUUGUUACCAGGAAGAAAAUAAUGCGAAUGGUUUUUUUUUAUCUGCUGUAUUGACAUAUUUUCAAACUGAAAAGCAAACUUGGAAGAAUGAAAAAAAGAAAACUUUGAAGCAUUCAAUCAUGGAGAAGAAUAAUGGUAAAAAGAUGUCCAGUCAACAAUUUCAUUAAAAGGAAUGGGGUGGCAUGCCAUACUCUUCCUGUUGAUAUGCAACAAUGAUACGUUAGUGUUGCCAAUUUGGUGCAGAUAGAGGGGAAUAACGCCAAGGCUGAUGAUGCCAUUAUGCUCGAUAAAGAUGGUUAUGUGUCAGAAACAAACGCUACAAAUAUUGUAAGUUUAUAUGCCUGCUGCAUAUCCUUUGUUUCUCUUGGUUUUUAUUGAUUUUUUUGGCUCCCCUCCCCUUCCUUUUCUCUUUAAUGGGGUUUUCUUGGAGCCUCCUAGAGAUGAGCUCACAGCAUGAGGAAUUGUCAAUCCUAGAUAACAUAUUCACUCUAUUCAGUCUCUCUCUCUCUCUCUCUCCCCCCCGCUCCCUCCCCUUCAUGUGGGUCCUUGGGUUUUGUGGCAAUUAUCAGGUCCAGGUUUGUUGCAGCCCGCCUUAUUUGUUUCUAGUUGUCUGUCAAUACCCACCAGCUCUGCACUAAUAAAGCUACUGUGUUUGUACGAUGUUAGGGGGUAGUCUGGUUGCUCCCAGAUGUGCAAUUUUUCUCAUGCCUCUUUGAACUAUUUAAAAGAGAAAUUUCUGAUUGGUUUCCUGAUGAUGUAUUGUAAUGUUACUGUUGCAGUUCUUAGUCAAGAAAGGUGGUGUUCUGACACCUCAUGCUGAUUAUUGUCUUCCUGGGGUGACUCGAGCAACGGUAAGCUCCAUAAUAUUCUGUUGGAUGUAAAAUUCUGAAGAAAGGCAUCUAUCUACAUUUCAGGAGUGGUAUCAUAAUUUUCUCAGAAGUCAAUUCUAACACAUAAAGACACAAAACAUUAGUAAGGCAAGGCACCAGUUGAUGCUUGUUUUGCAUUCUCUUCCAAUUCGCAAGCUAAAGUUGUAUGCAGUUGGCGUGUGUCUGCUUCCGGACAUCCAGAAAACCGGCAUUGCAUGGCCAUUUACUUCUUCUCAUGAAUGUUUCAUCUUCAAUGAUGAUGUAAUCAGAACUUGUUACCUAUCGUUUUUCUUAUUGUUUAUCUGAUAUUUGUUUUGGGAUGUCUGCAACUGCAUGACUCUUAUGGAUGUGGCUUAUAUUUCUUGGACAGUAACACCUACAGAAAUAUUUUUUAUCAUACUAUAGAUAAAUGGUUAUAGUAGUAGUCCUGUAUAAGCCAUGAAUAGCUAGGAUGGUUGUAAGGGUUCCUAUCUUAAAGCAUAUAAACUCCAUAUAUUCUCCAUAUAGACUAGACCCAGAUAAAAUCAUGAAUAUCUUCGGUUAGCACAUGAAAGGACAAAGUUCCACAUGUUUCCAUCUCAUGCAAAUGCUUUAUGACAUCUGCUUGCUAAGUGUAAUGGUAAAUUUUGCGGUAUCCAUAUGCUUGAUCGUAAAUAUUCUUUAAGCUCUGCAGGUUAUUGACCUUGUGGUAAAGGAGCAGUUGGAUUUACAAGAGCGGCGUCUUAGCUUAUCCGAAUUUCAUACUGCAGAUGAGGUCUGGUUUUGUUCUUCUAGAUACUAGCUGAACAUCCCAUUAAGAAAUUUUCUAUUCUGCUUUCUUAUAGUGAAUCUUGAGCUUGGCAAAGUUUGUGAAUGCUUAAGAAAUUACUAAGGUGGAGCUUGUUCUAUUAGGCCAAAAACCUCAUCAAGUGGACUGAUCUCAUAUUGACACUAAUGAUAUCCAUUGCGAAAGGUUGCAUAUACUUCUUCACACAUACGUGAGGAUUUCUGUCAGAAAUAUAAAAAGCGUCCUUCUUUCUUUUACACACUGAGGUUUACAAGUAACUGCAAGAUUCAGAGAAACUUACACCAGUAAUGUUUGGAUACCCUUUCAAAAGUUAGUUUGGACUUGCAUGACCAUCCUGGCACCAUGACUCAGGAAAUGGAAGUGUCACAGUUAGCUCAUUUUUCUAUUUUCCUGUGGUUGGAACUCCUUCAGGAAGUAGUCUAUUCCUACGCAUAAAGAUGAAGCAAGGGGUUUGCUAACCCUUUUUUGUCUUCGUCUGCGGUUCCAUUCUUUCUGUCAUUUAACACUUGUGAUGAAGCACAUCGAACUGGCAAAAUGAUGAAACAAUCCUUGCUACAUCAACCGACUAAUGAUAAAUUUUUGAAACUUGCCAUCACCUUCUUAAAUCCUAUCACCUCUCAAGUACAUUGUGAUUUUUAAGCUUCAUUCCUGGACAGUGUGCUGUUCUAACUAGUUGUCUUGCUUCCAGGUCUGGACUACUGGAACCGUGGGAGAGCUUAGCCCGGUAUGUCUGUGUUUUCAUAUCCUUGAGUACAAACUUCUAACAUCAUCUUUAUAGCCUUUUAAUAAACAAACUUCAUCAUUUAAUCAGUGUGGCAUUCUGUGAUCUAGUGAAUUUUAUGUUUCAAUUGUUUAUCACCAGCUUCUUGUCAUUUUUUAUUGUUUUCAAUUUUUCUUUGACUGAACUAAGGCAUUCAUCAAAAGACUUUGGUUUGUAAUCUGUUCUUUGGGUGGCAAUAGAAGCCUAACUUGUUCUUCCUAUAGCUACAUAUUCUGUCAAAAUCCAAAUUGGCUUUAUAUGGUUGGGUACUACUAAAAUGCACUUGUUAAAAAUGCAGCUCAAAAUGGUGUUUGAAUUGAUGUCAUAUUUAAUCCAUCUACUACUUAAGAGGGGUUGCUGUUCAAAAUCCUGAUUUCUUAAUAUGUUCAUUGUAGAGUAGUCAAUUAAAUCUUCUUAAUAUACUCAUUGUAGCGUCAGACCACGUGUCAUUUUGUAAUUAGACAAUGAAAGAUCUAAAAUCAUCAAAAUCUUCUGCAUCAUUUUUUAAUAACAUAUGCUGCUGGUUUUGCUUAUGUUGAUGAAUGAUGUAAUGUCACGAACCUGCACCAGGUUAUUAGAAUUGAUGGGCGCAUGGUUGGUGAUGGCCGAAUUGGACCUGUGACUCAAAGAUUGCAGAAUGCUUACAAGGAGCUGACUGAAGAGUCUGGUGUUUCUAUACCAACCUAUCAGAAAACCUGAAUUGAGGUUCUAAAGGUGUGUCUAUUGUCUCUUCUCUGGUUUGUUUCCACUGUCUGUUUUCAUUUGCCUCUCUUUUAUUCUGUGUGUGUGUCUUUGGCACUCUUAAAGUGAAGUUUGAUGGUUUAAUAAUAAUAAUCUGUAGUUACUAAUGUGCAGCAUGUGCAUUGGAUUAAUACUUCAUCCAAACUAGUACCUUUUCUUAGGCUGUUCGUACUAGUGCUUGUAUCUUUCAGUAUGCACCCAAACAACUCAGUGCUUACACGACAAACAUUAAUCUGCUGGCCGCCUAGUCCCAGAAGAUGUUACUUUUGUAUGGAAUAAGUGUGUUACAUGUGGUUGCUGAAACAAGGCCUUCAAUACCUGUUUGCACCUCCAGAUUGUACUACACAAAAUAUUAGGAUAGCUGCCAUUUUUUAUUUGCUAAGCAAAUUAUCACUGCGUUUUAGCAUGCCGCUUAAACUACUCAAGUGCUAAUAAGUUAUUCAACGUUAUUUUUUGUUUUCGGAUGAGUCUGUCUCUGUGCAAAGUCUGAUGCCUUGUGUUAGUCAGAGAAUGGGUUACCAAUUCAGCAACACUUGGAGCUAACCUGCUCAUAACCCUCCUAUAAUAUGGGUGCAAAUAUUUGUAAAAUGAUAAACAGAAAGUAAAGAAGCUUUGUGUACAGAUUGCAAGAAGCAUUGUCUUUAGACUUUUCUCCACUAAUACAUAAACUGUGAAUUUUCUGGAAAUAAGACCGUGAUGUAAACUGACUCAUGUGGAAGUUUUUAAUGAAAGAGAAAUUUUGUGGAAAGUUUCUUCUUUAAAAACAAAAGUUAACAAGUGAAUCUUUGCAGUAGAGGGAGGAGAGAUGAGUAGCUCAAACAAUCAAAGAUUUGAUUCUGGAAGCUGGAGAAAUUGAAUGAAUUCCUGUUAGUUCCUCCACUUCUUCAGGAGAACUAAAACCACUGUAUUCUCUAUAAUUGGCUUUCAGCAAAUAUUCUUAGAAACUCAACUUUUUGCUUGUAAACAGCUGUAAAUGAGUCAAACAUCUCAUUAAUGGUCGCGUAAAUUGUAUUGGGCUUAAAAAAAAAAUUAGGGAGUAGGGAAUUUUAAUACCGUGAAUUUUUCGCUGAUUUGCUGGGAUUAGAUUAUUUUUUCAUUUCCUAUUGCCUACUAAUUAUUGUUUUUAUCAAUUCCUUCAUAAAACAUAUUGGGGCAGGCUGCCAAGGUUGACAAGAUCUCGGCCAAAAAAAUUGCAUUUCAUUGGUUGAUUCAAUGUAGCAGCUGAAAGCAUGGUGCUGAAGCAAAUGUCGCCAGAAAUAAUUUAUCAUUGAUAAGGUUUAAUUUGUGACAGAAAUAAGAGAUGACAGGGGUGAUAAAUCUACUGGAAAUUUCGGCACAGAGCUAUAUUUUGUAGCUGGAUUCUGUUUCUUUAAUCUUUUGGUACCUUAUUAAGGUGGGUUUGCCUGCUUUGUCGCAAUGCAAGGUUAUGAUUUCUCUACAGGAUUAGUCUCAUAUUGCACUGUAUAAUCUUCUAAGUUUCAUUGCAUCCAAUGAUAAAGCUUUGAACUCGUUAAAGAAGUUAUUUCUACUGUCAAACUCUGUUAUUUGGAACGAGGAAUUUAUAUACUUCCAUACAAACUGGAUCUUGUGCCCUCCCUGUAUAUUGUUGAAUAGAAAGCUUGACAGUAAUCCUUUUUCUUUCCUGUUUCUUUCCUUCUUAGGUUGCUUUUUUUUCUUUUCUUUUCUUUUCAAAGAAAAUGAAGGUUUUGAAAUUCUCUCCUAAAUCUUUCUUUGUUUUUGAUUGUUAGACCAUAACUCCAAAAUCCCAGAAUGAUAUGACACCAAAGCUUUUGGAAUGGAGUUCUCCACCCCAAAUUGUAUGAAAAGAAAAAGAAUCUGAAUAAACUUUGAAAUACUUUCCAUGAAAUGUUUCGCAUAUAUUGUGUAUCAAGAACCACUUUAACCGAUCCUCAGAGUUGAAAUGUUCAAUUUCAAACAUGAUAUAAAAGGUUAGGUGCAUAAAAUUAAAAGCCCUGAGUGUCUCAAAAAAUGGUACCAACAGCUAAAAUCAGUUGUUUCCAACAGGAACCUUAGUUGUAGCACCCCUCUUAUUUCGUCUGAAUUUUAAAAAGCUGUAAAAUUACGAAUGUGUUUUCAGUUUCACAACUAUAUGCUGUCAAGUUUUUCUCUUCAAAAGAAUUCAAUCGUAAAGAGUGACUGAAUGACGCGGCAUAUAAAAGCAACAGAUGUAGAUACGAGAAUUUUUAAAAUCAGCACGUUUAAGUCAUAGAUACAAAUAUAAAAUUUUUUAAAAUUAGGGUUUCAGGCCAUCAUUUAUUUUGUGUUUGUCGUAUAAGUAAUAUGUCAUUUAGAGCAGGAUUUUCCUUUACAGAAUUAGCUAAAGAGAUUCAAAACCAACUAGAAAGGAAUCAUAAACACCUAAAAGAUAAUACUUACGCUUAUGAGAGGAGGGCAGAAAAGUAUGACAUUUUCUAAAACUAUUUCUAUCAUCCAAUAAAAAUAUAAUGAUAAGAUGAUCUUAAAAAACAUUUUUACAUGUCCAGGAUAAAUUUUGACAAUAUUGAUUGCACUAACAUGUAAAACCCAAUAAAAAUAAAGAAAAGGAAUUUGACUAAUUUCCUAUAGCACAAGGUUCAACUAGACAUUGUUUAUAGCUAAAAACAGGCGUAAACGUGAAAACCUUCAAAUUGAUGGCUGAUGAGACUGACAAGGGUGAAUCCUGGUCCAGACAAUCUUCUGCAUCCUCAACUGUGGAUAAGAGUUCACAAAAAAUAAUAAGUGGGAGGGUUGGAAAAUAUUUUAUUACUAAUCCUGCCUACGUUAUUUUUUAAUUUUUAUAAAUUUAUAGCCGAAGAUGGGUGAAAUUUAAAAAGUAGUGAGCAAGAAUAGGGAUGUGAUUUGAAUGCACACAUUUAAUUCGUAAAGUCUCAACUUUAACCACUAGACAAGGUCUCCUCCGAGACAGACUAUCGAUUUUGGGACCAAUCAAAGAAAGAAAAUACUAUAUAUGAAUUUUCUUCAUAAUCCCAAACCUUUAAAAUUAGGGGAAGCUGACCAUCAAAUUCAAAUAACCGACGGUCAAAUGAUCAUGUGCGGACCUGGUGAUGAUGCCAUGUUCUUUUUGCCAAUUCUUUCACAGAACCACGAUUUCGCGUGACCAGAAGCUCCAAUUUCGCCCAAAAAUGGCUUAUCUUGCUGGAUUUCCCCUAUCUUGAUAAACACAGUAAAAUUCAUAUUUAAAUAACCAACGGCAAACAAUUGUCGGCCAACAAUUGCAAUCUUGCUAGAUUUCCACUGUGAGUAACACAAUACAACUCACCAUUUUUGUUCCAUUAUAAGCCACACUAGGUACAUCUUAGGCUUCCAACCAUAAGAAUAGAGGAACAUGUUACUAAAGAAUUCUAACAAAAUGAUUUUUAGAUACCACUAAUAGUAAGUCAAAGUUAAAAAAAAAAAAAUUUCUACUUCAUGGUAAAUUUGUGAACUUACAAGAUAAAAGUAAAAUUUCUCACAAAAAAAGAGCAAAAUUUUCUAUUAAUUUGAGGAGCAACCUAAAGUAGGAAGGAAAUUUUGAAAAAUAAAAAAAAUUUGGGGGGCGAUGUUAAAAAAAAUAAAGGGAGAAUUUUUAAAUUCAAGGGUGCAAAUGUGAGUCAAAUAAAUAAAAAUAGAAACUUUUACAAGUUAUAAUCAUAAUUUUAAAAGUUGACAGCCACCAUCAACAUAGCAUGGCUCUACCCAUGAACAUGGAUGACAAUUAUAACUUAGCAUCUCCAAGAAAAAAGCAUUCAAUCAUCAACAUUUAACUUAUAAUAUGUUUGUUAGGUUUUCAAAGGCUGAGUACUUCCGUCUGUCCGACUUAUAUGACAACUGUUUGUGUUCAAAAUUAUUUGGAAAAAUACUUUAAAAUAAUUUGUAGCACUUUUGAUGAUUGUGCACUUUUUAUAAUAUGAUGUAUGUUAACCUAAAAAAGUUGUUAAAAAUAAUAAGUGAUUGAAAGAUGUUUUUAGUAAUGCAACAAACAACGUUUAUUCAAAAACAUUGGCUAUCCAAACACGCUUGUCCUUUAAUUAGUUGGAUGUUAGCAAGGUUUAGCAAACUAGAAUAAAAAACGUUUAUCCUAACCCCAAAAAGAAGAAGAAGAAGAAGAAGAAGAAGAAGAAGAAGAGGGAAAAAUGAUGACGAGGGAAAUGUAGAAAAAGAAGUAGUAGAGCAUUAAAUUGCUCACUUUUUCUCUAUGUGUACAUGUUUAAGAAUUUUUUUUUUUGUUUUGUUGUACUGGUUCCUUUAGAAAGAAAAAAAGAAAAACCUAAUUUAGUUCUAAACAUUAAUAUGCUACCACAUAAAUAAUCCUAAUAAUGUCAAAAGCAUACCAGUGAUAAAGGAACAAUGAAGUAUGCAAAAUUGCAGAUGAAUUCCGUAGAGGUUGAGUCAAUUAUGCCCAUAUCAUAAAUUUUAUGCACAUAAACUCCAUGUUUGGAUUGUGCAUUAUUUUACUUUAUUUACACCUUAUUUACACACACUGAUUUGCUUGCAUCAUCAACACAUUUUUCAAUCACCUUUUUAUCUCACAUACAUCAUAUCAAAAAAGUGCUACAGUACUUUUUCACAAAAUUAUCUCAAAUAAUUUACAAUCCAAAGAGUUUGAAUUGCAAUUACGGUUAAAAUGCUUUCCUUGAGAAAUGGAUUCUAGUGAUCCAUGCUGCAUAUGUUUCCACUAUAUACGUUAUUCUACUGUUAAAACAUAUGUAUAUAGUUAUUUAUACACUUGAUUUUGUCCUCUCCCUGUAAAUUCUUGAUUAGAAAAGUUGACAGAAAUCCCUUUUCUUUUCUGUUUUCCCUCUUUCAUAUGCUUUUUUGUUGAUGGGGGGGGGGGGGGGGGACUAGAAACCGUCAUCUACUAUCUUUCUGGUUGUGCAGCAGGUUGAACCAUUCUUAGACUUAUUAGCACUUCCAUUAUAGAUUCAAAUAAGAAGAUUGUUGUCCACUUUGUCUAUUAAUUACUUGCAAGCGAAUAGAUCAAUUCCCAAUGAAACGGAGACUUUUAGCCAACAGUUAUGAAUUUAUGAGAUCAGAAAUCAAGAAAAACAAAAAUCUCUUGAACUACAUAUGUUGCUAAUCUAUUUUUUAAUCUAAUUUUUCAUUUAAAAGAAAUGAAGAUUUUGAAUUAUUUAUUUCUAAUCUCUCCUAUUUCUCAAACUUUCUUUAUGUUUGAUGUUCUGGACUAUAUAUAAUAAUAUCACAGAUCCAGAAUUGCAGAUUGCAUAACAGAAUUUCCAUCACUUUUCAACUGUUGACAGAUUUCUAAGCUAAUCCUAGCUGAGUUGGUGAUGGAAUUGACUUAUUGACCUAACAACAAAGGCCCCGGAAUUGAAUCCUUCACCCCCAAUUGCAUUAAAAAAAGGCAGAAGAUGCUAUUUAUUUAUUAAAAUUUGGAUGAUUUGCACCAGAUGCUUAUCAAAUAUUAUUUGUUUUUUUUGGUCAAAGGUAAUUUUUUAUUAGAAAAAUUUUGGCAGAGUUUCCCCUUAUAAAUGGACGAAACUCCCUGCCAACAAACCCAAAUACAAGAAAUUUAUCCACAUGGUAGUAAGUUACUACUAGUGAUGUAAGCGAGCCGAGUCAUAAUCGAGUAGCUCGGUCAACGGCUUGGCUUCAACUCGGGUUGACCGAGUUCGAGCCGAGUCUCGAGCUAUUCGAUUGUCAUUCGAGUCGAGUUUCGAGCCAAUAUUUUGAGGCUCGAGACUUGUCGAGCUACUCGUCGAGUCAGGGGUAUUUAAAUAAUAUAUUUAUAAUUUAAAUAAUAUAUAUGUAUUAUAAUUAUAAAAUGACCAUUAUGGGUAUAAGUUUUACGGAAUUUACAAUAAACUCUUCUUUAUAAUAAAAUUUCAUAAUGGCAAAAAAGUAAUAACAUAAUUGUAAAAAGAUCUAAAAAGAAAAAAUGUCUAAAAAAGAGAAGAUUGGUCGAGUCGAGUCAAAAAGCUUGAUUAGGCUCGACUUGAUAAGACUUGACUAAAAGUCGAGCCUUAUCGAGUCGAGUCUCGAGUUUAAAGCGAGUUUCUUUAGUCAAGCUUCGCGUAUCGAUUUUUUGUACUCGGUCGAGCUUGAGUCGAGCUCGAGCCUAAGUAUAUAUGAGUCAAGUCGAGCUCGAGUAUAGCAAUACUCGAGCUUGACUUGGCUCGAUUACAUCCCUAGUUACUACAGUGUAACAUUACGACAGUUUGAAGACAAUUUAAUAACAACUGCAUGGUUAAAAUAGAACGGCCAACCAAAUAAGACUCAACUGCAGAAUUUCGAACUGGGCUUUUCAUCCACGCUGAACACAUUUCCUAAUUGAAGGCAGGCCUAUUCUAUCUAAGCGAAAUGCCCCACGAGCUUUCAUAGGGAGGUCCACAAGCUGAUGAUAUGUUGUAUUGAAACCUUGAUCACAUCCCAUGUUUGCUAAAGAAUCGGCAACUUGAUUACUUUCCCGAAAGCAAUGAGAAAUUGCAACAAAAUUAGACGAAAACUUUAGAAGGUAUUUAACCUCUGUAUAAAUACUCCAUGGACAGCUAUAUCCCUGUUUUAGGAUGUGAACAAGAACCAACGAAUCCAUUUCAAUGUGCAAGUUAACAUAACCACGAGAGAGACACAACUUAACCCCAACGAGAAGAGCGAGCGACUCAGCUUGAAUGCUGGUUACAUUCCCAAAAAAAGAGGAGAAAGCGAGCAGGAAAUUUCCUCCAUCAUCACGCAAAACCCCACCACCACCUGCCCUCCCUGGGUUACCCCUUGAACAGCCAUCAGUAUUAAGUUUAAAUACACCCAAGAGUGGCCGACACCACCUUACAAUCAUAAAUGAGACUUUCUUAUGAAUAUAAGAGAGCGAAAACUUCAUUAACCGGUCCACAUAUUUGAAAAUUUGUAACCUAAAACAUGCUUCCAGAAAGGUAAAUGAAAUAAACCUAAGUGUAUCAAAAGAUUACAUCAAAGCCUAGAAUCUAGAAUCGAGCCGUUUGAACGAGAACCUUAGUAAUAAUAACCCUCUUAUUUUGUUCGGAUCUUCAUUGCUGUAAAAUUGGGAAACUUCUUUCUACUACUGCAGUCAAAUUUUUACUAAUAAUUCUUCUUGAAAACUAGCUAGCCGGAGAAUAUUCAUAGCUGGAACAUACACCACUGGAGAAAAAAGUGAAAAGCCUGAGUGAUAUACUUUUUUUUUUUUUUGUCACAACGAUUGAAUUUCUAUAACCUAAUCUAGGGGGAGGAGGAGAUGACUCGAUGUGAGUACAGACUCCAUCGAUGAAGGUCAAUUAAGACCACCACAAAUUGUGGCAAAUUUUGAUGGGAGCCAAGGAUUGAAUCCUUGAACUCCCACCUUCCCAAGACUUAAGAUGUCUUUGGAUUACCAACAAUCCAAGAGGCUGUUGGCAAAAAGCCUGAGUGAUAUACGAUAAUUACAAAAUAAAAAUACAAGAAGGGAUAAAAAUAUGAGUAUGCUGUCCAGGACGUAGGUUAUCUUUUAGUUUAUGUUUGUUGUAUUAUAGUCGGAUUUUUUUUAAAAAAAGUAUAGCAUGUAUAUUUUUAUAGACCAUAUAUAUUUGGGUUCCACUCAUAAUACAAAAGAAGAAAAUCUCAAACUACAGAUGAAAAAAAAAUGAGAAUCUUAAAAAACAUUUACAUGUACUAGAGGAUGACAGAUACCCACAAUAAAAUUUGUCAUUAUUAUAGAUUGGAUUAUGAAAUGAAAAAUCCAUUUCAAAUAACAAAAAAACCCAAUGGGAUUAAUUUCCUACAGAACAAGUUUCAGCUAGAUAUUGUUUUACAGCUAAAUAGAGGCUCAAACGCGUAAACCUUCCAGUUGCUAACUGAGGAGACUUCAUCCUUGUAUAAACAGUCUUCUGCAUCCUCAACUCUGGAUAUUAGUACACCAAAGGAAUAACUGCAAAAGCUGGAAAUAUUAUUGCUAACCUACCCACGUUAUCCUUAACAGCCCGCCUAUUCUGAGACCCUUUGAAAAAGGAAAUACUAGAUAUGUCUUUUGAGUCGAAAUAAUUCCUGACCCUUAAAUCCAGUAGAAGUUGGCCUUCAUAUACAAAUAACCAAUGGUCAAUCAAUCUUGUGUCUACCUAUAGAUGCUGCCAUAUUGUUCUUGCUACCAAUUUUCUUCCAGAGGGGGACGAUGAUUUUGUGUAAUCAAGCACCAACAUCGGCCAAUACAGCCAAAUCAUGCUAGAUUUCCAUCACGAUAAGUACAAUAAAACUCACCAUUUUGUUCACUGUAAAAUACGCUUGAGAUUGGUCGACCUUGUAAAACAUAACCAACAUCAACUUUUUGUGCACUCUUAGCCUUGAUAACCCAAUACAGUAUUUAAAUUUAAUGGAUUUAGAUUUCAAUAUAUUCAUAUGCAUUUGAUAACAAAAAAUAGAACAUCUUAAUUAAUUAAGUGAUAUUUAAUUUUCUAAGCAAAACUUACUCUAAAAAAUAAGUGAUAACAUAUUCACUUAUCAGUUAAUACAAAACAUGCUCAAAUGUUAAGAUUUUAAUACCUAACAAUUCACUACCUUAAUAGAUUCAAACUUUAGGUUUCAAUUUUAUCAAACACACCCUUAACUAUGGAUUUCCGUUCUGACUUAUUCAGAAAAUUUUUGAAUAAUUUAUAGCAAAUUUUGUAAUGUGAUGAACGUAAAAAUAAAAGAAUGGCGAAAAGGAUAACAAAAUGAUAGUGAAAUGUGUUUAAUUAUACAAUAUAAAUAUAUUUUCAACAAAUUCGCUAUCCAAACAUACUUUUAUCCUCUAAUAAGUUGGAUGCCAGCUAAAUGUACCAAACAAGAAUAGAAAAAGUUCAUCAUAUGACCAAAGAGAGACAAAACAAAUGUGAUAACCACUAAAAAUAAAAGAAUAAGAUGGUCCAAUGACCACGGAAAAAAAAAAUGUAGAGCAUUCAAGUGCUCUCUCUCUCUUCUACCUCUGUGUAUAUGUGUGUUACAGAAAAGAAAAAAAAAUACUAUGUGCAAUCCAACAAAGAGUUCCAGUCAUGUAGGUAAGAAAGAAGCAUUUUUUCUUUUUAAAAAUAAAUCAUGUAGGUAAAAGUAGUUCCAUAUUUUUGUGAAGUAAUUAAUUAAUAAAUAAUCUAAAAGUCAAAUUAGAGUUUUAAACUUAAUUACAAUCAUUGUAAUUAAAAUGCUCUCUUUUAAAAUUGGAUUUCAAUGGUCCGUGAUAUUGUGACCGAGUGACGAUGGCUAAUUUUCCCUGCAUAUUUUUUAAGCAUGAGUGCUUGUUCUUGAACGCUGUACUAGCUGACUGGGGGCCUCAAGUAUUUCCAAGAAAUUACAUAUAACCCCCUGUGGUUUAGCAAUGCUAGAUGAUCCCCUUAAUGUUUUAAAAUGAUCAUAUAACUCCCCUAUAAUUUUAUGUAAAGUGGGAAAUGGACAGAAUGCACAAUUCAUUUUAGCGAUUAUAUGAGACACGCUUCAAAAAUGCGUAUCAUAAAAUCAUAAUCUAUUUAUCCCCUUAUGAAUAGUAUAAAUGUCCACUUUAUCCCUUAUAGGUUUACACUUAUCCACAUAAUCCCUCUAUAGUUUUAUAUACGGUGAUUAAGUCUUCGUUUGAUUUAGCAUUUAAGUAAGGACACUACUGGUAUUUCAACUAAUGAUGUUAUAUAGACUAUUUUUUGUCAAAUUUCCAUUUUAUAUGAAAAUAUAAAAGGUAAAAUGGAUAUUUUGAAAUGUUAGAGAGGUUAUGUGGUAAUAAAUGAAACCGCAAGGUGUUUAUUUGUAAUUUAGACAUUUAUAUUUGAACGAGGGCAUUGUGUACUAAUAUAUUCAAUGAGUUAUUGCUAAAAUCAGGUGGUGUAGAUGAAGUUUUUUUUUAUGCAUAAGGGUACGUAUUUUAAGAAAUGCAGAUUAUGUGAAGCAACCAAUAAGACAUUAUGAAUUGAAUAAUGUCAGAUUUAAUUUAGAGUUUUGCAGAUUCUGGGCAUUGAGUGUAUGUCUAUUAUUUUCAGUAGUAACCGCAUGUAGUGAUAAAAUAUAGGGAUAAUUUCAGAUACCUACCCUGAGGUUUCUGACAGUCUCACUCCCCUCUCCUGUGGUUUCAAAAUACCACUAACCUCCCCUAAAACUAAAUAGGCAGUCUCAAAGUAGACCCAAUUAAAAAAUACAAACAAUAAAAAAAUGGGGAACUAGAGAGAGGAACAACUAUAUACCACAAAUGCCCUUAUUAUCUUGCAUUAAUGAGCUAAUCUCAUAUGAAGAAAAAGUAGGGAAUUUAACAAGAAUGAAACUUGAACGAGUGUAAGUGAAAUUAAAGCAUGAAAGAAGGUCUGAACCUCAGUAGAAUGCAAUGGAAGGCAACGGCUCUUUCUGGUAGUCAUUUCUAAUGUCCAUAUGCAACUGCCAGUUUAGAAGACUCUUUAUGAGAGUAAAAUAGCAAGAGAUAUAAUUGAAGUGCUUGGUGUUGGAUGAAAAACGCAUGGACACGGGAGGAAGAUGGGUUCCAGAAACGUAUACAAACGAGAUGAUCUUAAAGGUCUUCACGUCAUAACUAUAUAUGACUAAUUGGACUAGUUUAAGAAACAAGAAAUGGUAAUAACUCCAACCAAGUGCAUGUUAGCCACAGCCCCUUGCUUUGUUUUUCCGCAUUCUAAUAUCAUGGUUCUUGGCAGACAUGGGAUGGAUGAUCCCUGCCAUCAGGAAAGGGCCAGAGAAAGCACUACAUAGCCACUCAAAAACUAAUUACUAGUAAUAUAUCAAGAUACACAGGAGCAAGAUUUCGAAUUACUCUAACAAGACUACCAAUUAAACUGGCAGUUAGGAGUUUUUCCAUCAGGAGAGACAAUCAGUCUAGAAGAUAGACUACAUUGCAAUACACAGAGAUAUGCAAGCAAGAACAUAGUACAAUAAUUAACUACUACAUAGGAGGUGGUACCAUUUCAGUUCAGAAAUUUAUUGCCUGGAUGUCUAAGAGUAGAGUUAGUUGCAAUGCUGCAGCAAUCUUCUUGCUUGACAAUACUGAAAUUUCUCAGCACUUCCAAACUGAGGCUGACAAGAGCUCACGCCGCUGCCAAGACAACACUAAUGAUGCUUGGCACUUCUCUACGUGAAAUCCUCGAACUUGGCUCCUCUUGACAACACACUCAGCUUGGGUUUCAGCAAAAUUACUGAUCGGCACUGAUGAAAACGCCGCAGAAGCAAAGAGAUUUGUCUAGGGCGGAAUUUGGUUCGGUGAUUGCAGUCUGCCAAACACAAUGCUUUCAAUUGUAGGCUGAAUAAGGAACCUCUCAAUCUUGUUAACAGCACCUGAAGCCAUAUUAGCAACAUCAACUGAGUCCAGGAAUACUUCAUAGUACUGGAGAGCAUUAAGCAAGUGAUGGUACGGAGGAAGUUCAAACCUUUCACACCCAUGAUCCAACAUUACCACAAUUUUAGGUGAAAGCUGCUUGAUAAAGCAGAGCAGUGAAGGCAGUAUAGUGGGUCAACUAGAAACAAACCACAAAGGAAAGUUUACAGCAAUCGUAUCACUCUCAGAUGACCUGAAUGAAGAUGCUGAAUAACCACUUGGGUCAAAAGAGUCAAAUUCACCACCUCAAGCUCGAAUUUUAUACCAAGAUCAUUAGCAAAAUGUGUUAGACUUUCAUGCAUAAGGCUAAUCUCAACCGAAUGGUAGGUUGAAGGAGAAGCAAAGGCAGUAAUCUUCAGAGAAGUUGUCCCUCUAUUUUUCCUGGGAAGCUCUUGCAUAAAAGAAGACCACUGAGCACCACAACCAAUAUCAAAGUCUAUAAUGUGAAUAUUUGCUGCAUCAUCAAGGGCUUCAAGAAGGGCCUGAUUGCGGGUAAAAUUCUUGAAUUGGAUAAGCGGUGAAACUUCAGAGAGCAUUUUACAAGCCCCCAUCUUGAAGGUGCCUUUAACAGCAUUCAUGAUGAUUAUGCUGAACGAAAUAUUAGCAAACUUGUGAGGGUAUUUAAGUCUUUUUGAUGACGAUAGUGUAAGAAAUGGGAUCUAAAAUUCUGACAGGGGAGGUUAGUGGUAUUUUUGAAACCACAGGGGAGGGGAGUGAGACUGUCAGAAACCUCAGGGGAGAUAUCUGAAAUUAUCCCUAAAAUAUACGUCACCCAAGAAAAGAAAGGGAUUAACGAUGGAUUCGUGUCAAAUAAUUUCCUGAUUGGCCACGUCAAAAUGCAAAGCCAAAGCAGGAAUUGUUUAUCCAUCAUAAAAUUUGUCAAAGUCAAUUGCACUAUGAAAUGCAAAAUCCAUUAAAACAAAAACGGAAAACCAACAAGAUCAAUUUCCUAUAGCACAAAGGUUCAAUUAAACAUUGUUAACAGAAAAGGAAAACCAAUGGGAUCAAUCUCCUAUAGCACAAGGAGGUUCAACUAGACAUUGUUCACAGGUAAAUAGAGGCCUAUACCCAUAAACCUUCAAGUUGCUAACCGAGGAGACUUGAUACUUGCAUAAACAAUCUUCUGCAUCCUCAACUCUGGAUAGUAGCACAGAAGGAGAACAACUCGAAAGGCAUGAAAGCAUUACUGCAAAGUUACCCACAUUAUCCUUGACAGCCCACCUGUUCUGGGACCAGUCGAAAUAGGAAAUACUAAACAUAUAUUUCCCAUCCUUCAAAUUUCUAACAAGGAAAACUAGUAGAAGCUGACCCUCGUAUUGAAAUAACCAAUGCCUAAUUGUAAUUGAUCCUGGGACUAACCCUUGAUGCUUCCAUGUUUUUGCUGCCAAUUCUUUUAGAGUUCGACGGUUUUGUGUGAUCACGUUCCAACGGCGGCCAACAAUGGCAAAUUUUGCUAGUUCUCCUCCGUCACAAACACAAUAAAAUUCUCCUUUUUGUUCACUAUAAACCACACUUGAAAUUGGUUCAUCGUGUAGAAUAUAAUCAACCUCAACUUUUUGUGUACACCAGUUAUCCUUACCGAAAGAAUAUGUAGCAAUGUAAGUGUCGCCAAGAUGUCGAUACGAUAUGAAAAAUACACAAUCUGGAGCAGUAGGGUUUGUGGAAAAAGUAGCAACAUCAGAAUGAUGAUCCAUCAAAGUGGGGAGCCAGAAGUAAUCAUUGGAAAUAGGACUGUAGACUAAAAAUAAGGUCUCACAUGGUACCUUAACCUUCCUAGCAAAAAGCAACCAGCCUUUUUUCGAAGCGCAUAAUUUUGCAGCGAUGAUAAAGUCGAAUAUCUUUGUCCGAUUGGCAGUUUUAAGGUUGUAUGAUUCCCUGGAACAAGGGUCAAACAGCUUUGGUUGGACAAGGUAUAGAUCCCUCUCUAAGUAGAAUAUCCAUGGUAGACUGCUUUUACGCCUAAUUCCUUUACUUUUGUCCCACCAAUCUUUGCAAACUGCACUCGAACGAACCAGGUCACCAAAGCUCAAUUUCUCCCAGAUUGUCCUGAAAAGAUCCUCAGGAAGAUCAGCCCAAGGCGCCAUGAUCAAGCUAGUCCUUAGUGUGUUUCUCUCCAUCCCAAUAUCCCAAUAUAUAUGUUUGAUGGACCUAUUUCGAGUUCUUGGUACUCAAAAAAAAAAAAAGCCCUUGUCAGUCUUCACCUUAAUAUGGAAAACUAAUAUGAGUUUGGUUGGGAAUGCAAGUCCAAUCAGGGUAGUAAACAGGGAGAUAGCGAAACACUGUUUAGCAUUAAUUUAUCCUCAACUAUGGGGCCCAAAUAAUUAAGCUCAAUUCGUUCUUUCUUGUGUUUAGCAAGGAGCCAAGGACCAAUCUGCCCUCGAGAAUUGAACUGUGCGGCUAUGCCCACAGCUCAUUGUUCUGAAUUUCGAAGCUCUAGCCUUGAUAAAGAAAUUUUGGUAAGAUAAUCGGUUUUUAUGAUGUUGUUGUUUGCUCUUGUAUUUAGAUUAUACAUUGUUUAAAUGAUUAAAAAAGAUAAAAUUCAUAAUCAACCAAAGAGUAUCUUUCACUGAUUCUAAUUGUUACACAUAAUCACUUUCCAUAAUUAGAUUUUACAUAUAAUCACUUUUCAUAAUCAAAUUCUGUAAAAUCUAAAACAAAUGGGAAUAAAGCCUAACUUGCAAAAUAUUUGACAUUUGAGGGGUAUAACUUAUACUAAAAACUUAAUUUUCAAGGGGCGUCAAAAGUUAAUUCACGAAUUUUACAACUCAAAUUCUCAGCAAUGAAACCACCAGAAUCUGCCGUUUCCGAGGAGAACCUUAGUAAUAAUACUCUAACUUCAAUUGACACAUAUAAUGCCAAUCCUUUCCAACUACAACCUUAGGAAUAAUACCUUUCUUAUUAAUUCAUCCGAAUUCACCACUAUAUGCCUUCAAUUUUUCACCAACGUUUCUUCAAAAGUAGCUAAAGAGCAUUUAUAUUUGGAUUAUACACCACAGGCGUAUGCCUAACUGAUACUCAAUGCUUGCAAAAAAAGAGAGAAGGGGGGGGGGGUUGGGUGGAGGAGGAUAAAAAGCAUAAUUUUUUUUUUCAUGAAACCAUUUGUCUUUCAUUACCACUUAUUUACCUAAGAAAAUCUCCAAUAGCAAUAUAAUAACGUGAAAGGAAGUUACUUAUUUCCAUUUUCUUGCUUCUUUUUAUUUUUCUAGAAUUACAACUGAAAAGUUAUUCUUAAGAAGGGUGAUUUUUCACCAAAAGUGUAACCAAAUAGAUAACUGUUUUCUUUAAUACAAGACUUAGCAGUGCUGUGUUGCAAAUGGGUUUUCAAUUUAUAAUGUGUUGAACCAAGAUUUUUUCCAUACGACAUGGUAGUAAUACCUCAAAUGUUCUCAUCUAAUUAGAGGGAAAAAAAAUUAGAAAUUUUGAUUUUGUUACUUACUUCCCAUAACUUUCAGGGAAUACGUUCUUUGGAAUUGUAUGAGAUAUCAGUAUCAUGUCAAUUAUUCUAUAGGAUAUGUGAGAAAAAUCUAUUUUAUUGUUCCUUCCCGACCGACAAUUAAUUUUGUUGAAGAGGCCCGAUCGAUUAUGAUGGCUUCUCUUUUCUUUCUCACUAUUUUUUCCGUUGCUGCAGACAUAAUUUUCUUCAUCGAAACAAAUUUAUCACGAAUUUAUUUCUCACUAGCUCUUGAUUCUUCCAUUUUUUGUAUGGUUGGAACAGUUUUGCCAAUUUUUGAGAACCAAGCGAAACAAAAGCAUCUCGUAAAACUUAUCGAGUCACUAGCGAUAAAAAUUACUAGCUUAAAUAUAACAUUUUCCGAAGCAUAAUAAUGUUUCUAAGAACAUUGGAAACAAGAAGUACGAUAUAGUACAAGAAGUUGGAAAGAGAAAUAUUUGGGAUGAGAUUAAAACAGACCACCAAUUUUGUAAGGAAUCCUAGAGAUAAAGCAACAGAAAAUUAAAAUUUUUGAUUCCUCAGAAAACCUUUAGCCAUGAUAAAACAUAUGCAACUAAAAGGGUUUUUAAGUGUAUUACCUCAAUCAAUGAAGAAACACACGAGCGUUUGAUGCAGAGAGAUGCGAGAGAUCCGUGUAGCCACUCAAAUGUUCAGCCUCUAACAGUGAUCCACACGAACUUUUAGCCAAAACUUCCAAACCCGAAUAAGCUUAAUCUAGAUUAGUGCUAGUUAUUGCCAAGAUACCUCUCACAAAUUGGUUGAGAAAACCCUAGUUUUUCACCAUGAAAAACUUGCCCUAACAAAAAAAUUAAGAGAUGCGAUAUUUUUCUUAUUUUUUUGGACGAAUUUUAGGUAUUUUUUCUCUCAAGAUUUUUCUCAAAAAUCUCACAAGAUAAUUUGGGUAUCCAUUAGUCUUGCAAGUAAAAGUUUAGUGAGUAUUUAUAAAUAAAUAAGUUAUCCAUAUCCUUAUUGGAAACCUGAAACCAGUUUCUAAUAGAAUUCAACUUCCUUAUUCUAAUACAACACCUGUAUUUGGAAGAUUUAAAUUUAUUUGCAAAUUAAACUAUCCAAUACAAAUUAAACUACAAGUUAUAAUACUUAUCCUUCAAGUCCCUACUUGAAAUUUAUUUAAUCCAAUUAAAUAAGUUCUUAAUGUGUGUGGCCCAUUAGAUUCCCAAAUACAUUGAUAAUAAGAACUAAUCAUAGUUUCUAAUUAAUAAGAACUAGAUAAAUUAAAAGAAUUUAUCGUUGAUUUAACUUAUCAAUCAACUCAUUCUUACAUAUCAAAAUUGGCAUCUAGUAAUGUAUCAUGACCACCCAAGUAAUGAGAAAGUCAAGUGGAUGACUUCACCUUUCAAUGAACAUAUAUCAUACAAUUAAUAUCCUUUUAUCACACUUAUCUCACAUUAAUCAUGGAAUAAGUCAUGUCAAUUUCACUAUAUGAUUACUGUUUUUUUUCGUGUACCAAAAUAUAACUUCCAAAAGAACUAGCACAUAGAAACAUCUUUCUAACAUUUAUUCACUUAGUACUAAGAUUUCUUGACUUAUAUUUCUACAAAUGCUCGUAAAUGAGAUAACUCCUCUUUCACAAGAGGUGGUAAAUUAUUAAAGAUUAUUCACUACCUUUCCGUAUUUCAAGUAUAUACCCAUAUGUUAAUUUUUUGAGCAUUCCCUUUAUGGGAGCAAACAAAUAACACAAAGUAUAACAAUCUAUACUCAAAGUACCAUGAUAAUUCUAAAUCAAAGAAUCAUGAUAAGGUGUUAAUUGUUAGUAAUUUUAUUAUUAAUUUUUCCCUGUUUCCAUGCCAAAUAUUAUUUUAAUUGUCAACAUAUACUUAUAUUUGGCAUCUGGACUCAAUUUCAGGAAGUGGAGCAGAAAAGAGAGAUUUUCUUACAACAAAUACUCCACACGUGGGAAGUUUCUAAAGAACAUACAAGCUAGGUUCCACGGGUGUAUUUGUGCUGGAAUUGAUGAUUAUAGUGGACUCCUCCGUUUUGAUAAUUGCAGAGGAAUUGAUGAUUGUGCUGGAAUUAAUUGGAAUGAUGUUUUCUUUCAUUAUCUAACGGGGACCACGUAGAAAGUCUGUCCUUAUGGUGGGAGAUGUACUCAUUAGCCAAGAUGUUGGCUUUGAUGAUUGUAGUUUUUCCAAUUGCUCCCUACGUAGAGUAGUGGGCUCAAGGAGAAAAGACUAUGAAAAAGCUAUGAAGACUAAGACUUGCCUUAUAUAUAUCGAACGAUGGCAGAAGACAAUAGGCUAGUGAGUUGUAGUUUUCUUUCAAAAUUAAGCUCCGUAGGAGGAUAGAGGAGUUUGUAGUUUUUCUCUCCGAGGGAUGUUCCAGAGGAGAGAAUAGGGAGUUGUUUUGGUUUGUUGAAUUCUAUUGUGCAAUUUUCUUAUUUUCUUCUGAGAGCUUUGUUAUUCACUCUCUCAAUUAUCGAAGAAAGAUGAUGUCUUUAAAUUCAAUUGAAUUGUGUGAAGAUUUUCGUAUGAGGCGUGGCUAAUUUUCUCAUCUAGUCAAGGAUCAACGCGAAGACUCAGUCCCAAAUAUCUGUGAGAUCUAAUUAAUUUUACGUGUUCCUUAAUUUGUUAAUAUUUGCAUGUUUUCUAUUUUAAUUUCCAUGGGAUUAUUUUGUUAAUUGGAUAUCAAGGGCCCGAUGUGCAAUUUGACUUAUUAAUCUCUUGUCAAAUUAAUCAAUUAAAUCCGUAAUUGUUUAGUUGGUUAAUAUUAGUGACAACUAGUAUUUUCACAUACUAGGGGGACAUACAAUCUGAUUUAAAUAACCCUUGUAGCGUGUUAUUAAUUUGGGUUAGGCUUUUCUAGUUUUUAAUGCAAUUAGGAAAUUAAUUCCUACGGUCGUACCUAGGAGUAUUUCCUGGUUAGAGGUAAUCAACGGUCGUACCUUGGUUAUCAAUAAAUUAAGGAAAAACUGGUCGUUAGAGUUUAUCGGCGACUAUAACUAGCCUAUUAAUUAAAUUAAGUGAACCUUCUUUGCAUCAAUGAUCAGAUGAAUGAACUGUGUCUGCGUAGUUGUAUCCUUGGCUAGAAUUUAUUUUUCAUUUAUUUAAUUGCUAUUUACAAUUGUAUAAAUUGUUUAAUUAUUUUUAGUUUAUUUCUGAUAAAAAUCCCCCGUGUCCCGAACUUGUAAAGAAUCGAAUUUUUCCCAGUCCCUGUGGAUUCGACCCUACUCACUACUAUACACAGAAAAUUUAUUUUUCUCGAGUAGGUAUUUAUUAUUGCACAGGCUCGACACCUGUCAAUUUUUGGCGCCGUUGCCGGGGACUGGCGUUAAUCAUUUGUUUCUUUUUAAGUUCAUUUUUUUCUGGUAUUUUUCUAGUUUAUGCCUCGCUCUUCUCGUACAGGCGAAUUAAUUUUCGACCCUGAAGUAGAGAAGACCGCGCGUAGAACGAGAAAAGAAACCAGGCGGCUCAGGGAGGAGCAAUACGAUAUUGCUCCUCAGGAACUUGAUCCAGAGGUUGAGCCGACAAAUUUGUCUGGUGACAAUUCAAGUGAUUCAGACCAAGAGGAAGUCACUAUGGCAAAUGCACGAACACUAAGGGAGUUGGCUGCUCCUGAUUUAAAUCAGCAGCCCUUGUGCAUUACUUUUCCACAUUUAAAUGAUGACACUCCCUUUGAACUAAAAUCUGGUCUAAUUCAUCUCUUGCCAUCUUUCCAUGGUCUAUCAGGUGAGGAGCCCUACAAGCACUUGCAAGAAUUCGACGUCGUUUGCAACAGUAUGAAGCCUCCGGGAAUUACAGAAGAGCAAAUAAAGAUGAGGGCUUUCCCCUUCUCUUUGAAGGACUCUGCAAAAGACUGGCUCUACUACCUACCGCCUGGUAGUAUCACCACGUGGGAUCAAUUGAAGAAAAAAAUUUCUGGACAAGUACUUUCCGGCGUCUCGAGCUGCGAGCCUGAGGAAAGAGAUAUGUGGUAUCAAACAACACCCUAGCGAAUCUCUCUAUGAGUACUGGGAGAGAUUUAAGAAACUGUGCACCAAAUGCCCUCAGCAUCAGAUAAGUGAGCAACUGCUCAUUCAAUAUUUCUAUGAGGGGUUGCUUUUCAGGGACAGAAGCAUAAUCGAUGCUGCAAGUGGAGGGGCGUUGGUGAACAAAACCCCUCGAGGAGCAUGGGAGUUGAUUGAAGGGAUGGCUGAGAACUCACAGCAGUUUGGUUCAAGAGAGGACAUCCCGACGCGUAAGGUGAAUGAGGUGGAAACGUCCUCUAUCCAACAGCAGAUCUCCGAAUUAACAUCUUUCGUAAGACAAUUAGCUGUAGGGAGUGCUUCACAAGUCAAAGUGUGUGGGGUGUGCACUGCCGUAGGUCAUCCUACGGAAAUGUGUCCACUGGUUCAAGAAGAAACUGCAGAACAGGUGAACAUGGCUGGCCACGCGCCCGCGCCAAGAAAGCAGUACGACCCAUACUCAAACACCUACAAUCCUGGUUGGAGGGAUCACCCCAACCUUAGCUAUGGAGGAAAUAGGCAGUCUAACUUUGUGCCAAAUAGACAGCAAGGACACCAACAGCAGUACCAUCCUCGCCCACCACCACCACUCCCUUCAAACUCAAGUCCGUCCAUGGAAGAGAUGAUGAAGCAAUUACUUGCUAAUCAACAAAAGACGGAUUCAGACCUGCAAAGCAUGAGAAAUCAACUGGGACAGGUGCAAUCAUUGCAAAAUCAAAUGAAUCAAAUGGCUAUAACAAUCAACCGUUUGGAGUCCCAAGUUCAAGGAAAAUUGCCAUCUCAACCUGAGGCAAAUCCAAAGAAUGUAAGUGCAAUGACUUUAAGGAGUGGCAAGGAAGUUCAAGGACCCGAACCGGUGAUUCCUAAAGACAAGGACGAGGAACGGAUUGAGAAAGAAUUGGAAGAGGAGGGCACAGACAACAAAAAUGCAAAGGUACCCUCGAACCCAAUUCCUACAGCUAAAACUAAUCCACCUCCCUUUCCUAGCAGGUUAGAAAAACCAAAGAAGCAAGACAAGGAAAAAGAGGUCCUGGAGAUUUUUCGCAAGGUGGAGAUCAACAUACCCCUACUGGAUGCGAUUAAACAAGUACCCAGGUACGCAAAAUUUUUGAGGGACCUGUGUGCCAACCGCAAGCGGUUGAAGGGGGAUGAACGAGUUAUAGUUGGGGAGAAUGUUUCAGCAAUUCUACAAAGAAAGCUUCCACCGAAAUACGGAGAUCCAGGUAUGUUUACUAUUCCUUGUAGGAUAGGUAAUACUUUGAUUGGGAAGGCCAUGUUAGACCUGGGAGCCUCAAUUAAUGUCAUGCCAAAGUCCAUUUAUGCCUCCUUAAACUUAGGCCCUUUGAAAGAGACUGGGAUAAUAAUUCAAUUAGCUGACAGGACCAAUGCAUACCCUGACGGGUUGAUUGAAGAUGUUUUGGUAAAAAUUAAUGAAUUGGUUUUUUCAGCUGAUUUUUAUGUGCUCGACAUGGAGGAUGAACACUCCCGUGAUCCGUCACCUGUGUUGUUAGGUAGACUCUUUUUAAGUACAGCCCGAACCAAAAUUGAUGUUAAUAAGGGUACUUUGUCUAUGGAAUUUGAUGGUGAGAUUGUUCACUUUAACAUCUUUGAGACCAUGAAAUAUCCAUCCGAUUCAAAUAUUGGCUCUGUUUUCUCGAUAAAUGUUAUUGACCCUGCUAUACAGGAGGUUUUUGAAAUUGAAGGCAGGGAUGAACUAGAGGUCGUCCUGACCAGGCACUUUGAGUCCGAAACAACUUCUAGGGUAGAGUUGAGUGAAGAGCUUAAAUGCGUGAUUGGAUCGUUGCAAACGUUACCAACCACGAAGACAAGGUAUGAUCUUGCACCGAUUUUCAUACCCGAACCUCACCAAAGGUUACUUCCAUCUGUGGUGCAGGCACCUGUCUUGGAACUAAAACCACUGCCGAAACACCUAAAGUAUGUAUACUUAGGUGAAGGGGAGACACUUCCAGUGAUCAUCUCCGCGGGUUUAUCAAAGGUGCAAGAAGAGAAACUACUUCGAGUUCUUAGGGAACAUAAGCAGGCGAUAGGAUGGACCAUCGCCGACAUCAAGGGAAUUAGCCCUGCGGUGUGUAUGCACCGAAUUCGACUCGAGGAGAAUGCUAAACCCGUACGGCAAGCUCAACGGAGAUUAAAUCCUCUCAUGAUGGAAGUCGUAAAGAAAGAGAUUUUAAAACUGCUGGACGUUGGAAUUAUAUUUGCAAUAUCAGAUAGCCCGUGGGUAAGUCCAGUACAGGUGGUCCCGAAGAAGGCAGGGGUGACAGUGGAAUCAAACCAAGAGGGUGAGCUCGUACCAAUUCGAAAGCCCACCGGAUGGCGACAGUGUAUCGAUUACCGAAAGCUAAAUGCCGUCCCGAAAAAGGACCAUUUUCCCCUCCCUUUCAUUGACCAGAUGGUGGAGCGAUUAGCAUGUCGAGCUUACUAUUGUUUUUUGGAUGGAUUUUCAGGUUAUUUUCAAAUUGCCAUCGCACCCGAGGACCAAGAGAAGACUACUUUCACCUGCCCAUUUGGAACAUUUGCAUACCGAAGGAUGCCAUUUGGAUUGUGUAAUGCACCUGCUACCUUUCAAAGAUGCAUGGUAAGUAUCUUUUCAGAAUAUGUUGAGAAGAUUAUUGAGGUUUUCAUGGACGAUUUUAGUGUAUAUGGUGAAAGUUUUGAAAACUGUCUAGAUAACCUGAAAUUGAUCUUAGUAAGGUGUAUAGAAACUAAUCUCGUGCUUAAUUGGGAAAAAUGUCAUUUUAUGGUUGAACACGGGAUAGUUUUGGGUCAUGUUGUAUCAUCUACAGGUAUUGAGGUUGAUAAGGCAAAAAUAGAUGUUAUAUCUACUUUACCUUACCCAGCGAGUGUGCGGGAAGUUCGUUCUUUCUUGGGUCACGCAGGUUUCUAUAGAAGAUUCAUCAAGGAUUUCUCGAAAAUUGGAGCACCCUUGUUCCAACUUUUGCAAAAAGAUGUAUCCUUCGAAUUUGAUGAAGCAUGUAAGGGGGCAUUCAAUAAGUUAAAGGAGUUAUUGAUCACCUCACAUAUUAUCCAACCCCCUGACUGGAACCUCCCAUUCGAGAUCAUGUGCGACGCCAGUGACUAUGCAGUUGGUGCGGUAUUGGGUCAAAGAGUAGGAAAAGCAGCUCAUGCUAUUUACUACGCAUCUCGAGCCUUGAACGGAGCUCAAUUGAACUAUUCAACCACCGAAAAGGAGCUUUUAGCGGUUGUUUUUGCCUUAGAAAAAUUUCGGUCUUAUUUACUUGGUGCUAAAGUUAUUAUUUUUUCUGAUCAUGCAGCUUUACGGUAUUUAUUGACCAAGAAAGAGGCAAAACCGCGAUUGAUACGGUGGAUAUUGUUGUUACAAGAAUUCAACCUGGAGAUCCGAGAUAAGAAAGGGGCGGAGAAUCUGGUAGCAGAUCACUUGAGUCGAGUACAAGUCGUCGAAGAUGACAUCCCAUUGAGAGAAGCAUUCCCCGAGGAGCAUUUAUUUUCUAUUAACUCAUCUUUGCCUUGGUAUGCAGAUAUUGUUAAUUUUCUAGUCACUGACAAAUUUCCUACAGGAUGGCCUAAGGCAAAGAGAGACAAGUUGAGGAGCGAUGCAAAGUUCUACAUUUGGGAUGAUCCUUACCUCUGGAAGCGGGGUGCUGAUCAAAUCAUCCGUAGAUGUGUAAGUGAAGUUGAAUUUCAAUCUAUUCUAGCCUAUUGUCACUCUUUUGCAUGUGGAGGUCACUUUGGACCAAAGAGAACGGCUCGUAAGGUGCUAGAGAGUGGAUUCUAUUGGCCAACUCUAUUCAAGGAUGCCUACUCAUUUUGUAAGUCAUGUGAUAAGUGUCAAAGAGUGGGUAAUAUCUCUCGUAGGGAUCAAAUGACUCAAACCCCAAUGAUUUUUGUUGAAAUUUUUGACGUUUGGGGCAUUGAUUUUAUGGGUCCUUUUCCUUCGUCCUUUGGUUUUUUGUAUAUAUUGCUUGCUGUAGAUUAUGUUUCGAAGUGGGUAGAAGCAAAGGCUACCCGCACUAAUGAUUCCAAAGUGGUUGCAGAAUUCGUUAAGUCUAAUAUUUUUGUUCGCUUUGGGAUGCCGCGAGCAAUUGUAAGUGAUCGGGGUACUCAUUUCUGCAACAAAACGAUCGCUGCAAUUUUUAGGAGAUAUGGUGUCUUGCACAAAGUCUCUACAUCCUACCAUCCUCAAACAAAUGGUCAGGCGGAAGCAUCGAACCGAGAGAUCAAAUCAAUUCUAGAAAAGAUGGUCCGACCCGAUAGGAAGGAUUGGAGUGUGAGACUAGAUGAUGCACUAUGGGCAUAUAGGACGGCAUAUAAAACACCCAUUGGCAUGUCCCCUUACCGAUUGGUAUUUGGAAAGCCAUGUCAUCUCCCGGUCGAGUUUGAGCAUAGAGCAUUUUGGGCGGUCAAACAAUGCAACAUGGAUAUCGAGGAAGGCGGAAUUCAAAGAAAGUUACAAUUACUAGAGUUGGAAGAAAUCCGAAAUGAAGCAUACGAGAAUGCAGUGAUCUAUAAGGAGAAGAAUCGGAUCUUUCAUGACCAACAGAUCUCUAGGAAGACAUUCGUCUGCGGGCAAAAAGUUUUACUAUACCACUCCAAAUUGAAACUAUUUCCAGGUAAAUUACGUUCUCGUUGGAUUGGCCCUUUUGUUGUGACUAAUGUCUUUCAUUAUGGUGCAGUAGAGAUCCAAAGUUUGAAGACGGAGAAGAAAUUUGUGGUGAAUGGUCACCGUCUCAAGCCGUAUUAUGAAGGAUUUCCAGUUGAGCGGGUAGAGAUGAUGCAUUUGGAGGACCCAAUUUGCUUAGUUUAAGCAAAUUACGGGUUAUGUCUAGCCAAAGACACUAAAGAAAGGCGCUAGUUUGGGAGGCAACCCGAAUAUUAGUCUUGUUAUUUUUAGUUGUCUUGUUAUUUCUAGUUGUUCUUCUUUUGCACCAAGUCAUUUACUCGUUGGGUAGUAUCUGUAUUAAUAUUUCUUUCACUGCAAUCAGGAAGUGAAAUCUUGGCGUGCCCGCGCGGUGUUUGAGUUUUCUGAGACCAGAGGACGAAAACCAAUCUUGGCGUGCCCGCGCGGUGUUUGAGUUUUCUGAGACCAGAGGACGAAGACUAAUCUUGGCGUGCCCACGCGGUGUUGGACGACCCAAACCAUGUUUUUGCAAUAAAAAAAAAAAAAAAAAUUUCCUCUUCUCUUUUCUUUUUCUUCUUUCUUUCUUUCUUUUCUUCUUUCUUUCUUUCUUUCUUUUUCUUUCUUCUUCGGCUGCGAACCUCACCCCACCGCCGCCCACCCCAGCUCUAACCGCCGCCCACCCAGCUCUUCUCGCCGCUGCCUCGGCUCUCCUCGUCAAGGGUGACCACCAGCUCAUCUGACCUCCUUCACCCUUGCCAUAGCCACCGCCUCCAAGAUCCGCCUGAAGCCCCGAAAGCCGCGCACCACCAGAUCCAGCUGCCGCAAACUCUUCUCUCCCAUAGCCACCACCUUCAUCGCACCACUGGCUUCGUAUGCACGCGCCUGCCUCAAUCUUUUUCUAUUAUUAUUUUUUAUUUUCUUAUUUUAUUAUUGCAGUAUGUUUUUAUUAUUUUUAUUACAAUACGUUUUUGAAAAUUUUGCGUGUUUGGACUACCUGACAUUUCUAUUCCUCCUUAGUUGGGUACUUCUGUGUUACUUUGCUUGUUUCUUUUUACUUUGCUUGAUUUUUAUUUAUUUAGUAGAUUGACUUGUGGUUAGUCGUGUGAUUUUUAGAAUUGAAUGUCCAAUCGUUAAUCAUUAUAUAUAUAUAUUUUAGGUCGAAUUGUGUUUAAUCUGCUGUACUUUGUGUUUAACUGUGGGUAAUUUGCUACAGUUGUUUGUUCAAUUGGGAGGUGCCUUUAACACUUAUAUUUACUUAUUGAAGUAGAUUGCCUUCAACUGCCUUAUAUGAGAACUUUUUUUUUUUCUUUUUUUUUCUGUUUGCAUUUCAAUUACUACAUUGAUUGGGGUGAUUAUGAGGUGCAUUAUUAUUACAUUUGGCUAAGUUUGGAACCACGAGUGUUUAUUGAUUGCAUUUGUUAUAAGUGUUGGGAUAUCUGUAUAACUUGUGAGUGAAUGCAGUGUGCAUUUUGUUCAUUGAAUUGAUUUUUCAUUUGUUAGUGCUUUGAAUUUCUUGUUUCCAUUAUUCGUUAGCAACUGUUGUCUAUUGUGGUACGGAAUGCAAUUUGGAAAGAAUGGUGAAACCACGAUCCCGACCCUUUGACCUCCGCUCCGCCUCCUCCAACUACAGGUGCUAAUAGCUGGCACCAGCUUCAGGGGAGUUUCGUUGUCCAUCUUCUUAUUUUUACUAAUUAAUUAUCACAUUGAGGGCAAUGUGUACUUUAAGUGUGGGGGGGAUUUGGAUUUGAUUGGAGUUUCUUUAAAUUGUUGCUUUUCUUAUUGUCGUCUUGAUGAAUAAAUGUGGCAACUCACUCUUCUAUUGCCGGUUGUGAUUUAUCCUAUGAAUUUUGUUUAGAUGGCAAGUAAAAGCAUAUUAUCUUGGUGAAUAUUAUGAGUUUAAUGACUUGGUGCAAAUUGUGGUUAAAUUGUUUAGGCAAUAUAAAUAUUUUACUAGCAAUUGUUGUGUGAAUUGGGCAAUUGUUGAUCUUAGUUCUCCAUAUUAGGAGAUGACGUGGGUCAUGAUCUUUAAUUAUAUGGUAUUCUGAUGCUUUAAUUAUGGUUAAUAAAUGACUCUACUCCGCUAGUGCCGUCACCCAGUAACCGGGAGUUUUCACCACAAGUGUCGACUCUCGCGUCAAAAAGUGGCGAUAUCUAUGAGUAGUUAGUCCUGAAGCUGUGAAAAGUUGAGUAACUGGGCUCUUUCAUCUAAAAAUGUCAGAAUUCACGUCAAAAGACUUGAAUAGCUUGGGACUGAGCAUUUUGUGAAAAAAAAAAAGAAAAGAAAAGAAAAGAAAAGAAAAUAAUAAGUAAGCUUAUGAUCAUGUUGGCCUGCCGAUCCUUGUUCUUCAAUGUUGAGAUUUUGAUUUUCAGUUGACCCAAUUGCUAACUUUUGCUAGUUUAAUAUUUUGAUUUCUUAGACGAGUUAGCUAUGAAUUGGACGAGUCUAUGAUUUCAGGAGCUAACCGGGAGAAAUAUGUCUUGACACUUAGCCACUAAAACUUGAUUUUGGGAUAAGCGUAGCUUGGCAGUAAAUGAAAUGAGAGUUAGCCAUUGUUGAAUUUAGUUGUUCCCAUGCUUGAGGACAAGCAUGAUUUAAGUGUGGGGGAAAUUGAUAAGGUGUUAAUUGUUAGUAAUUUUAUUAUUAAUUUUUCCCUGUUUCCAUGCCAAAUAUUAUUUUAAUUGUCAACAUAUACUUAUAUUUGGCAUCUGGACUCAAUUUCAGGAAGUGGAGCAGAAAAGAGAGAUUUUCUUACAACAAAUACUCCACACGUGGGAAGUUUCUAAAGAACAUACAAGCUAGGUUCCACGGGUGUAUUUGUGCUGGAAUUGAUGAUUAUAGUGGACUCCUCCGUUUUGAUAAUUGCAGAGGAAUUGAUGAUUGUGCUGGAAUUAAUUGGAAUGAUGUUUUCUUUCAUUAUCUAACGGGGACCACGUAGAAAGUCUGUCCUUAUGGUGGGAGAUGUACUCAUUAGCCAAGAUGUUGGCUUUGAUGAUUGUAGUUUUUCCAAUUGCUCCCUACGUAGAGUAGUGGGCUCAAGGAGAAAAGACUAUGAAAAAGCUAUGAAGACUAAGACUUGCCUUAUAUAUAUCGAACGAUGGCAGAAGACAAGAGGCUAGUGAGUUGUAGUUUUCUUUCAAAAUUAAGCUCCGUAGGAGGAUAGAGGAGUUUGUAGUUUUUCUCUCCGAGGGAUGUUCCAGAGGAGAGAAUAGGGAGUUGUUUUGGUUUGUUGAAUUCUAUUGUGCAAUUUUCUUAUUUUCUUCUGAGAGCUUUGUUAUUCACUCUCUCAAUUAUCGAAGAAAGAUGAUGUCUUUAAAUUCAAUUGAAUUGUGUGAAGAUUUUCGUAUGAGGCGUGGCUAAUUUUCUCAUCUAGUCAAGGAUCAACGCGAAGACUCAGUCCCAAAUAUCUGUGAGAUCUAAUUAAUUUUACGUGUUCCUUAAUUUGUUAAUAUUUGCAUGUUUUCUAUUUUAAUUUCCAUGGGAUUAUUUUGUUAAUUGGAUAUCAAGGGCCCGAUGUGCAAUUUGACUUAUUAAUCUCUUGUCAAAUUAAUCAAUUAAAUCCGUAAUUGUUUAGUUGGUUAAUAUUAGUGACAACUAGUAUUUUCACAUACUAGGGGGACAUACAAUCUGAUUUAAAUAACCCUUGUAGCGUGUUAUUAAUUUGGGUUAGGCUUUUCUAGUUUUUAAUGCAAUUAGGAAAUUAAUUCCUACGGUCGUACCUAGGAGUAUUUCCUGGUUAGAGGUAAUCAACGGUCGUACCUUGGUUAUCAAUAAAUUAAGGAAAAACUGGUCGUUAGAGUUUAUCGGCGACUAUAACUAGCCUAUUAAUUAAAUUAAGUGAACCUUCUUUGCAUCAAUGAUCAGAUGAAUGAACUGUGUCUGCGUAGUUGUAUCCUUGGCUAGAAUUUAUUUAUCAUUUAUUUAAUUGCUAUUUACAAUUGUAUAAAUUGUUUAAUUAUUUUUAGUUUAUUUCUGAUAAAAAUCCCCCGUGUCCCGAACUUGUAAAGAAUCGAAUUUUUCCCAGUCCCUGUGGAUUCGACCCUACUCACUACUAUACACAGAAAAUUUAUUUUUCUCGAGUAGGUAUUUAUUAUUGCACAGGCUCGACACCUGUCAAAUCACUUAUAUAAAACGUCAUUUAGAGAUUAAUUCUUUUGGCACAAAAGAAAUCUCUAUGCGGAUCAAUAUAGUGAACUUAAUUAUGCUAUCAAGCACUCAUAUACGUACUAAUUUAGUGUCUCACACACUAUAGUAGAUGAGCUUUACUACUUCUCUAAUAGAUGCGACAUAGUAUAUGCUAGUUUAACUAUAUUAACAAUGUUUCAAUCUUGUUAAUACUUUGACUAGAGAUAUUUAAAAAUAAAUUUUAUAUUUAAUCAAAUGAACCUCAUCAUCACAACAUUUAUGAUUUUAUUGAUCAAGUUUAUUCUAGGAAAUCUAUCAUACAAAUAUAAAUAUACAAGCAAUCAAUAUGAUAAAGAUGUUAUUUAUUAAUGCAUAAAUAGUUCAAAUACAUAUAAAAUUCCUAAAAGUGAUUGUCUUUAGAGCAUACAUAAUUUCAAAUUCAUGGGUCCUUACCACAUAAUCAUUUUCAGUUGAUUAGGGAGCAAUCUAAUUACAGAAGGAUUCUUAUUUAAUCACAUUUGACUUGGGACAAACGCAAUAUGGUGCAAAACGUUUGGCAUCGCAACCCUUCAUUAGUUUACGGUUAUGAGAAGGGAUGCCAUGAAGAAGAGGCUCGAGAGUUGGUGUUGCACGGUCGACAUCUGCAGCCGCCAACUGGGUAAAGGAACCUGGAACUGAAUCAUCAUCUGCCACUACUUCUAAAUGAAGGUGGACACUUAGGUUCCGUUUGAUAAAACUGAAUCUGAAUACUGAAAUAAUUAAUUUGCUGAAUUUUAAGCACUGAAAAAAAUAUAUGAAUGUCUGAAUGUUAAUGCUAAACCUAUUUAUGCUGUUUGAUAAAUAUUUAUAGCUGAAUGCUUAAUAAGUUUAAUUUGACAAUUUUGCCCUUAUAUCCUUUCAUUCAAAAAAGAAAUAGAAUCUAUGAUUUAAUUAGUUUAAAAUUGUUAGGUAUGAAAAUGACAAUAUUUAUUUUUAAAUCAAAUUAAUAUAAAAGAUGAAAUAUAUUAUAUGAGGAGUAUGGAGAAGAUGUGAAAGUCAUUAAAAAGGGAGAAAAGAGAAACUAAAAAUCGUUAGAUAGAGGAUACUAUGUUUUUUAAUUAGAUAAGAAUUUUGAACAUAAUUAACAAACAAUGGUAGAUUUGGUAGAUAAGAUAAGGUAGUUGAAGUAAUUCUAUUGAUUCUUAUCAGAAUUAAGCAUUCAGUUAGGAUUCUUGUGCUGAAAAAAAUACACACAGGUUCAGCACUGCUUAACAAGUUCAGCAUAUAGAUUUUCAUUUAUCAAAUACUCAAAACAUCUGAAUGUCUGAAAAAAUUCAGAUUCAGCACUUUUUUAUGUUAUCAAAUAGACCCUUAGUGCUAACAUGCCUGUUAUUGCAACUAUUAGCAACCCAAUCUUGGCCAUUGCAAAACUUAAUUAAAUUAAAUUAAAUUACUACUAUUAGAUAGGCCUAUUCUGAACAAUGAAGUAUAUAUACAUACAUAUAUAUAUAUAUAUAUAUAUAUAUAUAUAUAUAUAGGUUUGUCUUCAGAUGUAGUUUAGAUGUUAAGAUGUACUUUAGAUGUUAGAUUUUUAGAAAUAUUAGAUUAAUUAUGGAAAGCAUAUAUAUGCAAGGGGACUAAUUAGUGAAAUUGUAUAAAUAUAAGAGAAAGUAGUAAUUAUUAGCAUGUGUAUAUAUAUGGUAGGUUGGCUGGUUGAGUGGAAUGUAGGUGUGUUAACGAAUGCCUUAUAGGCACCUGUUAGAAGAAUCCUAUAAAAAUAUAUAUAUAUGUGUGUGCGUGUGUGUGUAUGUAUGUAUAAUGUAUUUAUGUAUAUAUGUAUGUAUGUAUGUUUGUAUGUAUGCAUGUAUGUAUAUGUAUAUAUAGAAUUUUAGAAACAAAGUUGUUUGAAUAUGAUUCACAAAAUAGUUUAAAAAGCUAUACAUAACUCCCUCAUAAUUUGGAUUAAAGUGUCAAAAUUACAUAAUUUGCAUUUCAUAACGGAGUCAAUUAAAAUAUCAAAAGUACCCCUUUGUGAAGUUGGAAAUUAUUAAUUAACCACAAGGGGUUAUGUAUAUAUUUUGAAAACUAUAAGGGGGUUAUGUAGUAAAGUACUAAACCAUAAGGGAGUUAUGUAGUAAAAUAUAAAAUCACAAGGGGUUAUAGUGUCAUGUAAAUUAAGUUUAUAUAUGUUGGUCACUUCAAUCAUUUUAAUUUUUAAACAAGGAUAUUCUCGAUAUUUAAUUUGGAUUCCAUUGUGGAUGAUCAUUUCCAUUGCAUUAACACUUUAAUUCAAAUUAUAAGGGGAUUGUGUAUAGAUUUUGAAACUAUAGGACGGUUAUAUAGAAAAUCGCUAAACCACGGGAGGUAAAGUGUAUUUUACCCUAAAGAAAUAUGAAAUAUGGCUAUAUGCACUUGUUAUAGUGGGUUACCUGCGGUGCACUUGUUAUGCAGCUAACGUAGCAAUAUGAAAAGAUAUACAGUAUGUGGUACAUAUGGAUUGAAAUAUUAUGAAAAUUUGUCAAUUGAUUAUUUGCAAGUAUCGACACCUAAAUGCAGACGAUCAUAUGCUCAUUUUCUCAUAGGUAAAUUUUGCAUGUGUCAAAACACAUAAUGGAUUCCACGUUAUUUAUUUCUUUGAUCUUGCUAUUCUUUAUGUGUUAACUACUACGAAUAUUAAAUGCGUUCUUGCUUCACAGGUCAUAUAGUUUUUUUUCAGCUCUCCAGAGCUAGAAAAUCCUGGGACAGAAUGGAAAAUCUGGGUUCUAUAGCGAUGAUUUGCAAUGCGACUAUUCGUUUCUCCUGAAGCAAGGACAAGAAAGAAUCAAAGCAUAGUGCAUCGCUUGGAGUCCAUGACAUAUCUGCAAGACUGCAACAAUAUAGAUCAACAAUUGCAGAUUCAAGGAGGUUCACUUUAGUUGGCAAAAAUACGCUAGAAGCAUAUUUGCCUGGAAUGGGACUUGAAUAUCUAAUUUCCGGCAAGUCCGAAUGAAGCAUAUUUAUCGGAAAGCAAAAAAUAUUGCAGACACGCUUGCAAGGAUUGGUGGAAAAAGCUUUUGUCAUACUUUUCAACUUUUGUUGACUGCCCUUCUCAACUAAGACCAAUUUUGAUUGAUGAGCUGAGGGGUGUGAGCUACCUCAGAUCUGUGUAAUGACUUGACUUGUAUAUAUAUGGACAAGGGGCCUGGACGGUUGUCUCACGGCUUGGAUGAAGCCUCAAAAAUUUGUGCGGCUCAGAUCACGUCUUGUAACUCGAUUUUCACGCCGUGUGGAACCCACAAAAAUGUUGUUUUAUUUUACUCGCUGUUGUUCAAUUGUUACACCUUGUACAGAUGAUGUUACACCAUGUACAAAUGGUGUUACACCUUCCGGAGCGGUUGUCAUAUGUAUACGCACACAUGCUACAGGGACUUUGCCCAACGAGUAGCACGUCCUUAAAUGGUGCGAAGAGGGGUCAUUUCAAAAGUUGGAUAUUUUUAGUUCUUUAAAAUAUGCUAAUACCUUCACCUUGUGGUUGUCUUCUGCACAAUGCCAUGCCAGCUGGUUUUUUAUUUCCUUUGGGUUUACCUUGUUCACACUAAUCUCAUGGCAGCAAGAAAAAGCAAUCUUCUAUAUUUUUUUGGAAUUCUUUUGGUAAAGAAAAAUUUGUAUGUGGUGAACUCCUGUUACUCCAUGAAUCAAAGCAUUGUAGACACCCUAUUUUUUUCAAAUUUUUUUAAAAUUUUUAUUAUGUCUUUGUUUACAUCAUUGUUUAAACAAUCAUUUUUAUUUUUAUUUUUGUAGGAAAAAGCUAAAAUGAAAAGAAAAAAAAAACAGAAAUGAAAGUGCAGUUUUGCCAAAAAAAAAAAAUUAAUUUUUUUCAACCGCGCGCGCGCCAUCCUCUCAUUUUUGCAGCCCAGGAGUAGGAAACGAGUACAAGGAAGUGGAAUUGCAGCUGCCAUUUUUCGUCUAAUUUCCAUUUGAUUUUUUUUUUUUUGCCUUUUUCUUUCCUCCAAGCCUUGCUAGUAUGAUGCCAACUCAUAUCAACAAGAAUCAUCAUCAAAGAUCUAGAAAAUCAGCCAUCUAAUGGCCCUCAAAUUCAAAUGCCCCAAAAACCCAGCUUUAUGUGUCCCAAGAAAGUCAAUUCUUUUAACCAGAAUUCGCACUUGCUGAACUUAGCAUACAAUUGAUGCUCCCUUAAGGUCUGCAAAACAACCCUCAAGUGAUUCUCAUGGUCUUUCACAUUCUUGGAAUAUACCAAAAUAUCAUCAAUAAAGACCACCACAAAUUGAUCCAGAUAAGGUUUAAAAACCCUAUGCAUUAAAUCCAUAAAAGCAGCAGGAGCAUUUGUUAACCCAAAUGGCAUCACGGCAAACUCAAAAUGCCCAUAUCUCGAGUUAAAAGCAGUUUUAGGUAUGUCCUCCUCCAAAAUCCUCAACUGAUAGUAACCCUGUCUCAAAUCCAACUUAGAGAAUACUACAGCCCCUUGUAAUUGGUCAAACAACUCAUCAAUGUGGGGCAGCGGGUAUUUAUUCUUAGUUGUAACAUUAUUCAAUCCUCUAUAGUCUAUACAUAGUCUCAAACUCCCGUCCUUUUUCUUAACAAACAAAACUGGGGCUCCCCACGGAGAAUCACUCUCUUUAAUAAAACCCCUUUCUAGCAAAUCUUGUAAUUACAAUUUCAACUCCUUCAAUUCGGCUGGGGCCAUUCGAUAUGGCGUCCUAGAAAUAGGGGCUACUCCCGGAGUUACAUCAAUCUUAAAGGCUAUUUCCCGUUCCGGGGGUAGAGAUUCCAAUUCUUCAGAAAAAACAUCAGGAAAGUCUUUCACUAUAGGCAUGUCCUCCAAAUUCACCUUAUCACUAGGGGUGUUAAUAAGAAAAGCCAAAUAUCCUUGAGCUCCUUUACUUAGUAAUUUUCUAGCCCGAAUUCCUGAAAUAAGUGCAGACGAAACUAAUUUACCCCUUACAUCCAAUUUCAGGGUUGCUUCUCCUGGAAUACGCAACUCCACAACCUUCGUCCUACAGUUUAGCUGAGCAUUAUAACGGGCUAACCAAUCCAUCCAUAAGAUUACAUCGUAUCCCUUAAUCAUCAAUCCCAUCAAAUCAGCCGAUAAUUUUCGCUCCCCAAUCCAGACUUCACAAUCUUGAUACACCAAGUUAGCCAUUAGACUUUGAUCCCCAGUAGGCGUUUUAACCUCUAGAUCAUAUGGUAACUUAAUUGGCUUCAAGUCUAUCCCACUCAUGAAAUUAGGGUUUACAAAAGAAUGUGUAGCACCUGGAUCAAUUAAAACCCUAGCUAAACGGUGAAAGAUUGGAAUCGUACCUUCUACCACCUCAGUUGCCUCAGGAACUUGUUGAUAAUCCAGUGCAUAAACCCUGACCGGUACUUUCGGUCGACUUCCUCCGACACUGGUUUGCUUAGAGGCUGACUUUUCUGGUCUUUGAGCAUUUCCCCCUGUCUUUGGUGAUUUUGGACAAUUGGUCACUUGAUGUUCAGUACUACCACAAAAUAAACAUUUCCCCGACUUUCUCCAGCAAUCGUUCUCAGAAUGGUUGGAUUUACCGCAGUAUCCACAUGUAACUUGAGGAGUCACAGCCGAUCCAAUAGGAGGUGCUCCCCUAACUUGAGUUGUUCCACUACGGCCCCCUCUAGUUAGAGCUCCCCUAGAAGCUCCAACAGACUUCACUCCUCCAACUCAGCCAUCUAUCUUGGAAGGUUGUGCACUCUUACUUGCUUGACCAGAGGUAUGACUAGGAAAGUUUCUUUUUCUACUGUGGAAGUCUCUCACUUGCAUCCUUGCAUUUUCUACCCUCUGAGCUUUCUCUAGUGCCUCCGUGAAUGUAGAGAUUUGGGCUGCAGCCAAACCCUCUUGUACCUCCACAUUAAGUCCCUGAAUAAAUCGUCUAACCUCUUUCGUUCAUUGACCACUAGCUCAGGGGCAUACUUGAAAAGUUUAGUGAAUUUUCCUUCAUACUCCGCUACACUAAGAGUUCCCUGUUUCAGCUUGAUAAAUUCAUCCUCCCUCUUCUCUUGGAUUAAGGGCAGAAGAAACUUUUCAUUAAAUUCCCUUGUAAAAUUCUCCCAAGUCCACGGGGUUUGAGUUCUCUCCUAUUUUCCUUUUAUCAGAUCCCACCAAGCACGGGCUACUCCCUCAAAUUGAAAAGCAGCGAAAUUCACUCGCCUAUCUUCAGUGUAGUCUAAAGCAGCGAAUAUGUUGGUCAUCCUUUCCAACCAAUUCUCCGCCACCUCAGGAUCAGGUUCGCCAAGAAACUUAGGCGGGUUAAAUUUCAAGAACCUCUCUAAGGCUCUAUCCUCUCCUCUUUCUUGACCCCCAGGUUGGUUAAAUGGUCCAGGGCCUUGUCUAUCAGCUAGGCGCUCUAGUAUAUCAGUCAUCCUAUUAAUGGCAGUAGCCACUUGAUUACCCUCAAUAUUUUCCUGACCUUGGAUCGGUGCAGUUGCCGAUCCCUGGUCACCCCUUUGAGGUUGGGCCUGUCUAGUCCCUCGCCCACGACCUCGACCACGGCCUCGACCACCUCUUAAUCCUUCCAUAACCUAGGCGUGCCUAGUGCAAGAAUAAAUAAAUUAUGCGAUGCAAAGUAAAGAGUAGGAACAAAUCAAGAAAACAUUGGAAUUAACAAUAAUUUACAUUCAUUAGCAUAUCAAGUUCAUACAAUUAGCAAGUCAUGGGGUAGUCACAAAAUAUAACACACAGGUGCCACAAGAGUACUUUCAGUCACAGAAGACUAAAGUAAAGCAAGUGCUUCCAAAAAUAGGUCACACAGUCAUGCAAAAUACAAUGGCCUCAGCACUUAGCAUCACCCCUGCUAAUUCUAGCUAUACAAGUCAAAAGAGUCAAAAGAGUGGUCAAACUGCCUAGACCUAGUCCACAGUAGGACUAUCAGGAGGAACCUCCUCCUCAGGAUCCUCCUCCUCAGGGCUAGGAGCUACCUCCAUCGCAUCCUCCACUAGCCUAGUGGCAUUAGGUACAAUAUCGGAAGCCCUACUACGGACCUCCUCCCUCAACCUAGUAAGCUGAGCCCUAGUACUCUGAAGCUCAUCACGGACCACAGCAGAUGUGGCCACCUCACCCUCGAUCACCUCCUCGAGCUCGGCAAUCCGCUCACCCUGAGCGCUAACCAUCUGUCUGAGCUCAUCCACCUCUGCCUGAAGAUCUCUAUUAAGAUCCACUAGCUGACGACGCUCGUCGUCCAGAGCAAGCACAAGGUAGUUCGGGUAAGCAAAGGUAACCCUACAAGCACAUCGGGGGUAUCGAGUAGCAGGCGAGUAGCGUACACGAGCUCCCCCACCUAAAGCUCGGUAGUAGAUAGGCCUAGGAGGCGCUACAUGACCAUUCGCAUGGCCAUUCGCAUGGAAAAUUUCAGUUUUGUUAUGAAUCUUUGAAAAAUCGUAACUCACUCGGCAUAAGUCGAGAAUUGGAAAACUUUAUACCGUUGGAAACCUCUUAGAAAGUACUACAAGUUCCUAGAAGACACUUUUCCAUGAAUCGAAGUGGAAAGUGCUCAAAAAUGAGCUUAAAGUUGCUGUUCCAAAUCACCCAGGAUUGAGCCGGGGUUGGUUUUUCGCUAACUUUGAAAAUUCGGCAGAAUUCACUCGUUGCAAACCAUCCCUUGAAAUUUAUAGCUCAAUUAGAGGUGCAAGUAAGGUUUAGGGUAGAACAAGAGGAUCGAGAAUCGGAGUUUCGAGCACCAAGAUAUGGUAGCUCAAAGUUGGGUAAAUUUCAAGACUGUUAACAAAUUUCCAGAUUUGGUUCCGACUUUGGACCUUUAGUUAAGUGUCGAAACGGACUUGGAUUGAUACCA
rnacentral:lncRNA from 1 species